rnacentral:lncRNA from 1 species
UAAUAAUAAGGAAAAAAAAAAGAAAAACAAUGUUCUAAACAUCUUAUUAAGACGGAAAAUCUUGGCAUCGACCGACGGCAACUGGAUAUUAAACAUGUCUACAGAUUUUUCCAACCACGGUGAAGUCGGAGGAACGCUACCUUUUUUUGUAUGUGUGUAUCUAUAUUGAGAUUUUUUGUAAAUUACUAAAUGACCUAUAAAUAUUGAUUACCCUUUUUGUGUAUCUGUUGUGCCAUUUGCAGUUUUGUAGUCGAUGUUUUGGUUCGCUAAUAAAUGGUAUUUGCAAGAUUUUUUUUAUUUUUCCCAGUGUCUCAGCCAAAUUUACUUAGUAUUACCCGCCAUGUUUGUGAACCAAAAAGAAUAAAAUAUAGUAAUAUUAUUCUAAUGGUCUGGUGUAUAUUCCUUUCAGCCUCUGGCCAUUUAUGGUAAAAAAGAAAUAACAAUCCGACCACACACACAUUAAAAAAAAGAAAAUGUGUUUGAAAAUUUAGCGAUUGUAGGGGCAACUGAAUAUGCUACCUUAAUAUGUGGUGCCCUCCACCCCCUUUAAAUACGGAUGGCUCCUUUGAUGUGGAAUGAAAAACAGCAUGUAUUGGACGGGUCCAUAACUAGUACCGAACCUAGAAAUUUCGCUAAGACUAUUCACAUUUUGAACCGUCUAAAAAUUCAUCAUCAAUUUGAAUUCGCAAGUCACUCCUGACAAAUUUCAUUGUUGAAAGUUAUUAAAGCAAGUUUCACUAAGCGGAUAUAAGAGGAUAGCUAAAUUACUUCUUUGUCUCAAGUAUUUAUCUUGAAAGAUCAGCAGAUCCAUCUAAUUUGAGAAAAAAUAACAAAGUUACGUUGGUUAUGAGUAGCGACGCCACCGACCACAAGGGCAACCAGAUAGUAGGCUUCUCCCAGAGCAACUUCACAAGCAACACCUUAACUGAAUUCUUAUAGGAGUCAUUUAUUUGAUAGUAUUGAGCACUUAAUCCCGGCUUGAUUUUUUAUAUAUAUAAUAAAAGAACGCGCAUGAGUAUUUUUGGAAGUGGAUUAGGUGCCUCUCAUUCGAUCAUUGAGGGUAUCUAUUUUGUGGUUUAUUAGGCUUUAUGGUUUUAUAAGUGUUUGAAAGGGAUUUGGUUGGAGCGGUCGUGCAAGCAAGCAAAGUCGAAUAUAUUAAAUGAGCUUGCUGCACUCCAAUCCUUUUCUUUAAUAUAAUAGGUUGUCUACGUUAUUUGUUUUGCAGCAAGAAGCCCUAUGAACCCCUCUCAUAGGUGACUGGAAAGAAAAAACGUUAGAAAAAGCCCUUAUUAUUAUUAUUAUUAUUAUUAUUAUUAUUAUUAUUAUUAUUAUUAUUAUACAACUGGAAAUUAAACAUGUCUAAAGAUUUUUCCUAUGAACCCCCUCUCAUAGGUGACCUUUGAGGUGGAAUGAAAAACAACAUGUAUUGGACGGGUCAUAAGGGACCACAACCAGUGACGAAACUAGAAAUAUCGUUAAGGAUAUUCAAAUCUUGAACUUGUAUAGGAUAAAAUAUGCUAUGACACGUGGCCGUCCAAAAAAGGGACACGUGGAACCCAAGACGAGGGGAUGACCAAAGACCGAAGGCAACUGUUUCGUUUAUCACCGGAAAGAAUAACGCUCAUAAAGAUGUGAUAAAUGCUCUUCGCCCGAUAGCAUUUAAUAAAGAAUAUUCCGUGGUAUUAAGAGCGAUUACCCGUUACAGGAAAUUUGGCAUUUAUAUUUACCGUUACAUCUUCGUCAAUGAACCUCAUAAUUGACAUUAAAGAAGGGCACGAUCCUAAGACCUCCUUCCCUAGAUAUAGCUUAAAUAGCGAGCUCAAUUAUCAUUAUAAAGGGCAUGAAUUUUCUGGCAAACUUACGUUACAUUCUAUAUAAAGCUUAAUACAAUCUUAUCUUCUUACUUUUUGAUUUCGUUGUUGUUGUGCCCGAAAAUUCUGUUCCCAGAACUGUUAUUUCGUCUACAUCCUAAGGCUAAGUAUUGCAUAAUUUUUCGAUUAUUUUAUUAUUUCAGGAUCAAAUUAAUUCACUUGUCUAGAAACUACGUAUAAAUUUAAUUGUACCAUUUUACGUGUAAACAGAACCAUCUAAAAUUCAUCAUCAAUUCGAACUCACAAGUUACUCUUGAUAAAUUUCAUUGUUAGAAAGUCAUUAAAGCAAGUUUCACUAAGCGAAUACAAGAGGAUAACUAAACUACUUCUUUGUCUCAACUAUUGUUUACCCGAAAAACGGAUAGAGUUGAAUUUAUACGUAGUUUAAGGAUACGUAGUGUAACUUGGCACAAAUCGUAAAAUAAGUAGAAAUAUAUUGAGUAUUGACUGUAUAAAGAAUGAAAUAUAAACCAAACUGAGUGGAAAACGGUUUAUGAACAUGCAAGACGAAUCAAUAUAUAAAGGCCAAAAAAGGAUAAUCUAUGAAUAUCGGUUUGUUUUUCUCUGUGAAUAUCAAUAACAUGAGAGUGUAUCAAUGCCUUAAUGAUGGAUCCCUUACAGAAAUAGUAGCUAUCCCUCUUAUAGUGGAGAAAUCCUACUUUAGAUAUAAUUAAAAAUACAUAGUGGGGAUCAUAUGAUAUAUUAGCUUUUCUCUAAUUCCCGCCGAGAUUCUCUCCCUUAGUGCGGCUGUAACGGCUCUUGUCUCUUGGCUCGAUCUUGGUCGGAAUUGGUAUUGGUCGAUUUCCAGAUUUAGAGCUCGAUAUUAACUCGAGCUCGAUAUUGACUAGAGCUCAAUAUUGACUCGGGGCUCGGUAUCGAAUCAGGCUUGAUAUUGGUCGAUUUUAAGCUCGAUGACACCGCUUCACUUCAUAGUUCGAUUUGGACUCGAACUCGGUAAUAACUUCGAGCUCGGUAUUUGAUCGGUCCCAAAAAUUUGAGCUUGGUAACCUGGAUUCAGAUUUCAUCUCGAUAUUAUAAAGAUGACCUUCGGUCCAUUAUGUUCCAAUCUUGACUAAUCAUACGAAGGUCGAAAACGGUUUUGACCGUAUACAGAUAGUCCCCUCGUUUCUCGGGAAGAAUUUGGCGAGAAACGACAUGAUUUUCCAACAGUAUGACUAGAUAUACACUAACGUUUGCAUCGAGCCCGACCAUGACGUACGUGAUGGAUAUCCCGUCGGUUCAGUUAUAAAGGCAUUGAAUGCGUGUCAGGCGAUGGUCGGCCAUUGCUAAUAUUGAACCGUCAUUGCCAACCCUAUAAAUAGACCCUCUUUUUAUCACUUUUUACUUUUACAUCUCCAAAUCUUCUCUAAGUUCCUUUUCGCAUCUUUUGAGUUCUUCAUCUGUGAAUUUGUGAUUUUCACUGCAGAAACCCUCUUUAUAACACAAAAUCUUGUCAUCUUCCUCUAUCUUCAAUCUUCAAAUACAAAUGGCGAAAACGUCAAAAACCGUUCCUCAAAAAGAAAAAGCUUCUUCUUCGUGGCCCGCCGGCAACAAAACACCGGUGGAGCCAUGACCCGAGGAGUGCGUUCUCGGGGUGUGUGUUCUUACCUUUGAUUUUAAGAUCGACAAAGCUUCAUUGGUUCCCGGUCGAUGUGAGACAGUAUCGAGAUACAUGUUCUCGAUAACUGAGGGAUAUCUUAAACAUGUAAGGAAAAAUUAUAACUAGGAGAUCAAAGAAGUGAUAAUCCUGGCUCCCGAAUAAGAUAUUACUACCCAUGUGAAAGGAUUUUUAAGUGUGUAUACUUACCCUUUCAUGUUUGGCCCUCUCGACCCUGUUGUCAUCGAUUUUUGCCGCCAGUAUCAAGUAACCCUAGGCCAAAUCCAUCCUUCUUUUUGGCGGAUCGUUAUUCUGAUCCGCUUUUUCGUGAACAAAGUUGAGGGGAUAUCUUUCACCCUCGACCACCUUAUUAGAUUGUACAACCCCCGCCUCUAUCGAGGUGGGUUAAUAAAACCCCAGCGCCGGGCUACCAAAGUGUUAUUCUCGAGCAUAGACGAGGACAACGAUCGAGGCUGGAUGGGCAGGUUCGUUCGAGUGAAGACUUCUGACUUAAUCCCGGCCGAGAAGAUGUCGUUUCCCGAGGAAUGGAACAUGAAGCGUAAGUAUAAAUUCUACUGUUAGCUCCUAUUAUUUUGCUCCUUUAUUUCUUUCUCACCGAUAUCCUUUUCCGUGAUAUAGCGGUUGCUUGGAUGCCCGGUGCUAUUCCUAACCGUAAGAGCUGGGUACGGGACCUGUCUUCGAACUCCACAUAUGCCGAGAGCUCGUGGCGCGACUUAUCAAAGGGCCGAUGGGAGGCUAAAAAUCAUGGUAAGCCUCUUUCCCAUGUCUUUGAUGAUUCGAACAAAAUGACUUUCCCAUACUUAACUAAUUUUCUUGUGUGUAGGCCUGGGCAAAGAUGCGGUCAUGAGGCCCUCGUCGGGCAAGAAAGAGACUUCGGCCCCGGUUCCAAAACUGGUGAAGGACAACAAGAGAAAGAAUACCAUCCCUCUGACCGAGGAAUCAGUUCGUCGCCUAAGGGAUAAAGACGAAGAAGAAGAUGAUGACUCCGGGAUGGUGUCCUGAGUGAAAAUGAGCGCCAAGGCUCCAAAGGCUACUGAAUCGAUGAAGGCCACAAAGAUUCUAUUUUGUGAUGAGGGAGUCUCGGGAAGAGAAUUGGUCAAAGUCCCCGAGUCAUCGAGGAUCGAGACUACCUCACACCAUAAUGAGCCAAUGGUGGGUGCGGUUGUGGGGGCUGGUCUCGAGGCCCCUCGAGAUGGAGAGAACACCCCAAGUGAUUUACUUGGGGCUAUAAAAAUUGGAGGCUCCCCGCUGCUCCCCUCAUUUUUCGAGGAAAUUAUUCGGGAGGCUCAGGUCUUGAAGACCCUUUCUAUCGAAGAGGGCCACAGAAGGGAAGAUCCUUUUCGUGAUUAUUUUACUGGGGUCGAAGAUGUUACCGGCCUGGGCGAUUUGGAAGUCUCGAGGAAGGACUCAGGUGAGGCAUCGAGCCUUUUCAAUGAAGUGCAGCGGGCUCCGAAUCGGGUAAGCCUUAACUUCCUUUGUUGGUAUUACCUUUGUGUUUGUUUUUCUUUCUAACUUCUUUUUUUCUUUCUGCAUAGGUCUCAGUGCUUCAUUGGGAAGCAUGUUCUCGGUCUCGAGCUGAGUAGGUGCGAGGACGACCUCCGAAGGCUUACGGAGGAGAGAAAUGCCCUCAGACUUCUCUGUGGGAAACAAGAAGAGGAGACAAAGGACCUACGAGCCGAGUUAGCCAAGGCUCACCAAGAUCAGACCAACCUGAUUGAGCAGGUAAUGAAAAUUUUAAAAGCUCAUGGGCUCGACUCGGGAACGGUGGCUAACGUUUCAAUCUCACAGCUGCAGCAAAAGAUCGAGAGGAUCGAGCAGUUCCGUGAGGAAGUCGACACAAUAAGUGCGGAGUCCUUGGGAUGGAAAGAAGGCAUGGACCGGCUUGCUGCAGAUAUAAAGACUGCUCGAGCCCAAUUAUCAUCGGUCAAAAGUCAACUUCAAGGUGUAAAGGAGAAGAUCUCGAUUCAGGCGAAGAAAAUAGAGGAACUUGAGGCCCGGUUGUCUUCCGAACUUGCAAAGGCCAAGUCUGAAAUCGAAAAGGCAAAGACCGAGGCAGAGAAGAUCGUGGCUGUCUACCGGGCUGAUGUCGAAGCCGCCCAAGUUCAAGCGAAAGAGGCAACCGAGACCGCUCGAACUCAAGCAUAUUGGGUUGCUGAACUCGCCAAAUGACAAUCUCGGAGGGAAACCCUGGAGGAGAUCCAUGCUCGGGUCUUCGAUCUUACCGAAGAGAUAAUAAAGGCUAAAAAGCUUGAAGCCGAAGCUGGAGCUCUGGCUUCUGAUGAUGAUGCUGAUGACGAGAGCAAGAGCAGGUCCGAGAGCGGGGAGGACUUCGAUAGAGAAGAGACUGCCCCAGGAGAUAAUCAGGAACCUUAGGUUUUUUCUUUUAUUUUUAUUUUUAUUUUUGAUCUUUUUGUGUAGGGUCCUGGUCGGACCUUGUAAAUACCUUUAUAUAUAUAUACCUUCAUGCCAUACGAAAGUUUACAUAAGUUCGAGGCUUUAGGCAUUUUGGUCGAAGUCGGACCUUGUAGUUUUUAUAAGCGAGUGAGCGUUUUGCCCGAACUUUCCUCAAGAGUAGCCUUUGGGCUUUAUGGUUGAGUGAGUGUAUUUUGCUCGAACUCGAAGUAAUGUAGCCCGUAGGAUUUAUGUCGAGUGAGUGUUUGCUCGAACUCGGAGUAGUGUAGCCCGUAGGCUUAAAUGAUCGAGUGAGUGUUUGCUCAAACUCGAAUUAAUGUAGCCCGUAGGCUUAGUAGUCGAGUGAGUACUUGCUCGAACUCGAAGUAAUGUAGCUUGUAGGUAUUUUGGUCGAGAGAGUGCUUACUCGAACUCGACGUAAUGUAGCCCAUAGGCUUUUUGGUCGAGUGAGUGCUUGCACGAACUCGAAAUAAUAUAGCCUGUAGUCUUUAAAUGGUCGAGUGAGUGCUUUCUCAAACUCGAAGUAAUGUAGCCCGUAGGCUUUUUGGUCGAGUGAGUGAUUGCUCGAACUCGAAAUAAUAUAGCCCGUAGGCUUUAAAUGGGUGAGUGAGUGUUUGUUCGAACUCGAAGUAAUGUAGCCCGUAGGCUUAGUAGUUGAGUGAGUGCUUGCUCGAACUCAAAGUAAUGUAGCCCGUAUGCUUUUUGGUCGAGUGAGUGCUUGCUCGAACUUGAAGUAAUGUAGCCCAUAGGUUUGUUGGUAGAGUGAGUGCUUGCUCAAACUCGAAAUAAUAUAGCCCGUAGGCUUUAAAUGUUUGAGUGAGAGUUUGCUCGAACUCGAAGUAAUGCAGCCCGUAGGCUUUCUGGUCGAGUUAGUGCUUGCUGGAACUCAAAGUAAAAGUAGCCCGUAGGCUUUUUGGUCGAGUGAGUGCUUGCUUGAACUUGAAGUAAUGUAGCCCAUAGGCUUUUUAGUACUUGGCCUCCGGUCAUGGUCGACCCUUAAGCCUGUUUGAACAUGAAGUAGAAAGAACUUUCUGAGAUAUGAGACUAAGGUAAAGAAGAAAUUUCUCUUUAUGUCAUUAUACAUGUGUUCAUGUUUUGUGACAAGGCUCGAGCAAACUACACGAGCAUGGUUCGUUUUGACCAUUUGGCUCUUACAUUUUUUCCUAUCGAAACCCUGUUGUCAUGAAGUAACUUCCUUGCAUCGAACUUGAUAAUCGAAUUUGUUUUGUUAUACUCGAUGGUAAUUCCCCCAAGUAUUCGAGGUUGAUUGUAAAGAGGCCUCGGGUACUAUUGAAUUGUUCUAAAUUAGCACGAUCAAUGGUUGCCUCAUUAAAAACCUUGCCGAAAAACCCAUUUGGGACAAAACCUGUCUAAGGGAAAAAGAGUGCAACGCGCGCUUUCAGACCUAAAGACUUCGAGUUGAAGAAACCAUCCUUGUUUCUGGUCGGGAACCUAUAAGGGUUAAUUUUGAAAUACAAAUGAACAUGGGAGGGAUGUACCUUAACAGUAGUAUUGUUUUAGGUGCGAUAUGUUCUAAUUCCUCGGUAGUUGUUUGCCGUCUAUCACACCGAGCUUGUAGGAUCCUUUUCCGUCGAUUUCGAGAACUUGAUACGGUCCUUCCCAAUUCGGACCCAGUUUCCCUUCAUUAGGAUUUUGGGAGUUGAGGGUGACUUUCCUUAGCACUAAAUCCCCGAUUUUAAAAUGGCGAAGAUUGGUUCUUCAAUUAUAAUAUCUUUCGAUCCGCUAUUUUUGGAUGGCUAAUCGGACGAGGACUGCUUCUCAUUUUUUGUCCAAUAAUUCUAGGCUCGUGUUCAUUGUCUCGUUAUUCGACUCAUUUGUCGCAUACCAAAAUCUGAUGCUAGGUUCUCCGACCUCAACCAGGAUAAGAGCUUCGGCGCUGUAAACCAACGAGAAUAGUGUUGCUCCGGUACUGGAUUUUGAUGUCCUGCGGUAUGCCCAUAGGACUUCGGGUAAUAUUUCUCUCCAUUUUCCUUUAGCGUUGGUUAAUCUUUUCUUAAAAUUUUGGAUGAUGGUUUUGUUGGUCGAUUCGGCCUGUCCGUUCCCACUGUGAUGAUAAGGUGUUGAUAGGAUCCUUUUGAUUUUGUGGUCCUCGAGAAAUUUAGUUACUUUACUGCCGAUGAAUUGCUUUCCAUUAUCACAUACAAUUUCGGAUGGCAUCCCGAACCGAUAUAUGAUGUGGUCCCAAAUGAAGUCUAUUACUUCCUUUUCUCUGACUUUCUAGAAAGCCUGUGCUUCAACCCAUUUAGAGAAAUAAUCAGUCAUAAACAAAAUAAACUGAGCCUUACCUGGGGCCGAUGGGAGGGGGCCGGCGAUGUCCAUCCCCCAUUUCAUGAAAGGUCAUGGAGAUAGGACCGAGUGGAGAAGUUCCCCGGGUUGAUGAAUCAUAUGCGCAUGUUUUUGGCAGUUGUCGCAUUUUCGAAUGAACUUCUUUGCAUCCUUGUUCAUAUCGGUCCAAUAAUACCCUGCUCCGAUUAUUUUGUGGACCAGCGAAUCGGCACCAGAAUGAUUUCCAUAAGUGCCUUCGUGAAUUUCACGUAAGAUGUAAUCGGUGUCUCCCGGUCCCAAACAUAUUGCCAGUGGACCAUCGAACGUCCUCCUAAAUAGCGUUCCGUCUUCGAACAAGGUGAACUAUGCUGCCUUUGUACGCAGAGCCCUCGAUUCUUUUGGAUCUGAUGCCAACUUCCCGUUCUUGAAGUACUCUAUAUAUUUGUUUCUCCAAUCCUAGGUUAGACUUGUGGAGUUUAUUCUCGGCAUGACCUGCUUUGAUUACCGAUUUCAUCAGUUGUACAACAGUCCCCGAGUUGAGUUCGUCAUCCUUGACCGACGACCCUAAGUAUGCAAGAGCGUCGACCUCACUGUUCUGCUCUCAAAGUACAUGUUGCAAAGUCCAUUCCUUAAAUCGAUGUAGAGUCACUUGCAAUUUAUCCAAGUACCUCUGCAUUCGAUCUUCCUGGACUUCAAAAGUCCCAUUGACUUGAUUUAUCACGAUGAGGGAAUCACAUUUAGCCUCCACGACCUCGGCUCCCAAACUUCUAGCUCUGCAAUCACGGCUUCAUACUCGGCCUCAUUGUUAGUCAAUUUUGUAGUUUUAAUAGACUGUCUAACUACAUUACCUGCGGGCGAUUUUAGAAUGAUGCCCAGUCCGGACCCCUUUGCGUUCUAAGCACCAUCCAUAAAGAGGGUCCAGACUCUCGGAGUGAUACCCAAUUUUAUUAGUAAUCCUUUUCAAUCUCGGGUAUGAAGGUCGGCGUAAAGUCAGCCACGAAGUCCGCUAAGAUUUGAGAUUUGAUAGCGGUUCGAGGUCGAUACUCGAUGUCAUACCCGCCGAUAUCUAUUGCCCAUUUGGCCAAUCACCCUGGAAGCUCAGGUUUGCGUAAAAUAUUUUGUAGAGGAUAAGUUGUUACAACAUGUAUCAGAUGGAACUGGAAAUAUGGUUUUAGUUUCCUAAAGGUACUUAUUAAAGCAAGCGCUAAUUUUUCUAAGUAUGGAUAUCUAGUUUCGGCCUCACCUAAAGUUCGACUGACAUAAUAUAUAGGGAUAUGCGUACCUCGUUCUUCUCGAAUUUGGACUCCACUUACCGCUAUCUUCGAGACAGCUAGAUACAGAUAAAGAUGUUCGUCUGCCUUCGGGGUAUGAAGCAAUGUAGGGCUUGAUAAAUACCGUUUUAUCUCUUCCAAAGGCUGCUGACAUUCCAGAGUCUAUGAAAAAUUGCUUUUCUUUUUAAGAAAAGAGAAAAAUCGUUGGCUCCUAUCCGAGGAUCUCGAAAUGAAUCGUCCCAGGGCGGCUAUCCGUCCUGUUAGCCUUUGCACGACCUUUACAUUAUCUACCACUGUGAUGUCCUCGAUUGCUUUGAUUCUAUCGGGGUUAAUCUCGAUUCCUCGAUUGGAUACCAUAAAAUCGAGAAACUUGCCCGAGCCAACCCCGAAAGCACAUUUUUCCUGCAAUUGCUUUAAAUGGUCCUCUGCUCGUAGGGAUUUAAAUAACAUGUCAUCAAUAUAAACCUCCAUUGAUUUUCCUACUUAUUUUUCGAACAUUCUGUUUACUAGGCGUUGAUAAGUUGCACCAGCAUUUUUUAGGCCGAAUGGCAUUACAUUAUAACAGUAGGUCCCGUACUUAGUGAUAAAUGAGGUCUUUUCCUGAUCCUUCGGGUUCAUCUGUAUUUGUUGUACCCGGAAUAGGCAUCGAGAAAGCUGAAAGUCUCGUGGCCGGCCGUGGCGUCGAUCAUACGAUCGAUAUUAGGCAAAGGAAAAGAAUCCUUAUGGCAUGCUUAUUCAGGUCUUUAUAAUUUAUACACAUUCUAAGCAUGUUCCCCUUUUUAGGGACUACCACCACAUUUACUAGCCACUCGGGGUAUUUUACCUCCCGAAUGGACCCUAUUUUAAGAAGUUUGGUUACCUCGUCUUUGAUGAAGGCAUGUUUGACCUCAGAUUGGGGCCUUUUUUUUAGUUUUACCGGGUGGAACUUUGGGUCCAAGCUUAGCUUAUGAGUGGUGAUUCCCGGUAGUAUCACUGUUAUGUCAAGAUAGGACCAGGCGAAACAGUCUAUGUUAGCUAUAAGAAAUUGAAUAAGCUUUCUCCUGAACUCGGGAUCUAACCCCGUGCCCAGGUAUACCUUUCGUUCGGGCAGAUAUUCGACUAGUAUGACUUGAUCCAGUUCUUCGACCGUUGAUUGGUUAGCGUCGGAAUCAUCGGGGACCACAAAAGAUCAAGGGACCCCAUGUUCAUCGUCUUUGCCAGUCUUCUAAUUGGGUCGAAGCUGAAGCUUGUGAUUGCUAUUUGGUAUUUCGUUCCUCUUUUGAACUCGAUCCUUUUGCUGAUGAUAAUGAUGAUAACGGAAUCACUUCAUCGAUGGCAAACAUUUCUUUUGUGGCUGGUUUCUCCCCAUAGAUUGUUUUGAUUCCCUCCGAUGUUGGGAACUUCAAAACCUGGUGGAGGGUCAAGGGUACAACCCUCAUAUUGUGGAUCCACGGCCUUCCGAACAAGGCGUUGUAUCUUAUAUCGCCUUCGAUCACGUGGAACUUCAUUUCUUGGAUGGUCCCCGCCAUGUUAACUGGAAGGAUUAUUUUGCCCUUAGUAGUUUCACAUGCCAUAUUGAAUUCGUUUAGUACCAAGGUUGCGGGCACGACCUGGUCCUGUAGACCGAGUUGCUCUAUGACCCUCGAUCGAAUGAUAUUGGCCGAACUACCUGGAUUAAUUAACACACGUUUAACUUGAGUUUUAUUUAUAAGUACAGAUAUUACCAGUGAAUCGUUAUGUGGUUUCAUGAUUCCUUCCGCGUCUUCGUUAUUAAAGGACAAGGUUCCUUCAGGGGUGUAAUCCUGAGUCCGUGAUCGCUUUUCUCUUACAAUCGACAUCUUAGUACGUUUAAGCACCGACCCCUGGGGGUAUCGAUCCCACCGAUGAUCAUGUGGAUGAUGUGUUAUGGCUCUUCAUGUUCGUUUUGUCUACUGAAAUCCCUGUUUUUGAAAUGACUUUUGGCCCUGCCACUUAGAAAUUCUCGAAAGUGCCCUUUAUUGAAUAACCGGGCUACCUCUUCUCUCAGUUGCCUGCAAUCUUCCGUUAUGUGGCCAUGAGAGCCAUGAUAUUCGCAUAUUUGAUUGGGAUUCCUCUGGGUAGGGUCGGUCUGCAGAGGUCGAGGCCAUUUAGUAUCUUUGAUGCGUCUGAUAGCCGACACGAUAGCUGAUGCAUCAAUGCUGAAGUUAUACUCCGAUAACAGUGGUGCUUCCUAAGGUCCGAUAUGCCGUUCGAAUCCAUUUAUGUUCAUCAGCCCCCGAGACCCUUGGCCUCGAUCGCUUCUUGUAUUGCCUUUUAUGGGGUUAUGCCUUGGUUCGUUUCCCCUAUGGUCUCCACUAUAUGGUCGGUAUCGAUCCCUGAUCGGCCUUGGUUCUCAAUUGAUGUCCCUUUUAACAAUGGGCCCAGAACCCAACUGGUCGUCUUCGACUCUUAUUUUGAAUUGAUACCGAUUGUGCACAUCGGCCCAAGUAAUAGCUAGGUCCUCGAUCAGGUUAUGCUUCAGCCUCCGUGAAGCCAUCGAGCUUCGUUCGUUUAGACCUUGAGUGAAAGCUUGAACAGCUCAAUCGUCUGUGACUGGUGGUAGAUCCAUUCAUUCCAUUUGGAAACGAGAUACAAAUUCUCUUAGCAUCUCGUUAUCCUUUUGUCUUACCUUGAAUAGGUCUGAUUUCCUGGUCUCGACCUUUAUGGCCCCAGCAUGUGCUUUUAUGAAAGAAUCUGCAAGCAUAGCAAAAGAAUCGAUAGAGUUAGGCGGUAAAUUAUGAUACCAAAUUAUUGCUCCCUUUGAUAGGGUUUCACCGAAUUUUUUUAAUAAUACAGAUUCGAUUUCAUCGUCCUCUAGAUCGUUCCCUUUGAUGGCACAUGUGUAAGAGGUGACAUGUUUAUUGGGGUCGGUCGUUCCACUAUAUUUAGGAAUCUCGGGCAUGCGAAACUUCUUUGGGAUCGGUUUAGGAGCCGCGAUCGGAGGGAAAGGCUUUUGUACGAAUUUUUUGGAAUCUAAGCCCUUCAAUAUUGGUGGUGCCCCUGGGAUCUGAUCAACCCUGGAGUUAUAUGUUUCUACUUUUUUGUCGUUUGCCUCGAUCCUCCUUUCUCCUGACUCUAUUCGUUUUGUAAGUUCUUGGAGCAUCUUUACAAUUUCGGGAUUAGUCCCCGAUUCUUGUUCAUUUGACCUUACUAUAGCUGGCCCCGUUUUGUGGGUGAUUUCUUGGGGUGGACUGGGCUCGAGUCUGGUCGCUGCCCGGGUUUGGCUCUUCAACUAGGCUAUUGCUACUUGUUGAGCUUGCAACAUCUCAAAAAUCAUACGCAAGCUGUUUCCAUUUUCCUCAGCGUUUUGGGUAUUUCGAGCAGUAGACCGAGUUCCACCAUGAAUGCUAUUUUCAGGGUCGGAACGUUGGUUCGCCUCGAUGGCCGCAUGUUAAUUAACGUCUAUUGGCUCUUCGACCAGAGCUCCAACGGGAUCAACGAGUGGCCUUCCACCCCGGGGGGUUAAGUUGUUGUUCUCAUCUUGAAGGCUAGCUUCGUUGUCGAUAGGUAGGGCCAUUAAUUAAGAAUUCGUCCUUUUCAACCUGAAAUUAAAGAUACUUCCGAGAGCAAGCGUAAAAUGGUGUAUUUUACAGAGAUUCGUACCAAAUAACCACUGUUAUCCUUAUCCUCACGGUGGACGCCAAACUGUUUACCCGAAAAACGAAUAGAGUUGAAUUUAUACGUAGUUCUAAGGAUACGUGGUGUAACUUGGCACAAAUCGGAAAAUAAGUAGAAAUAUAUUGAGUAUUGACUGUAUAAAAAAUAAAAUACAAACCAAACUGAGUGGAAAACGGUUUAUGAACAAGCAAGACGAAUUAAUAUACAAAGCCCAAAAAAGGAUAAUCUCUUUAUGAAUAUCAGUAUAUUUUUUUCUGUGAAUAUCAAUAAUAUGAGAGUGUAUCAAUGCCUUAAUGAUGGAUCCCUUACAGAAAUAGUAGCUAUCCCUCUUAUAGUAGAGGAAUCCUACUUUAGAUAUAAUUAAAAAUACAUAGUGGGGUUCCCAUGAUAGAUUAGCUUUUCUCUAAUUCUCGCCGAGAUUCUCUCCCUGAGUGCGGCUGUAACGGCUCUUGUCUCUUGGCUCGAUCUUGGUCGGAUUUGGUAUUGGUCAAUUUUCAGAUUUAGAGCUCGAUAUUAACUCGAGCUCGAUAUUGACUCGAGCUCAAUAUUGACUCGGGGCUCGGUAUCGAAUCAGGCUUGAUAUUGGUUGGUUUUAAGCUCGAUGACACCGCUUCACUUCAUAGUUCGAUUUGGACUCGAGCUCGGUAGUUGAUCGGUCCCAGAAAUUUGAGCUUGGUAACCUGGAUUCAGAUCUCAUCUCGAUAUUAUGAAGAUGACCUUAGGUCCAUUAUGUUCCAAUCUUGACUAAUCAUAUGAAGGUCGAAAUAGGUUUUGACCGUAUACAACUAUUUAUCUUGAAAGAUCACAAAAUCAAUCUAAUUUGAGAAAAGAGGACAGAGUUACGUUGGUUAUGAGUAGCUACGCCACUGACCGGCCACAAGGGAAACCAGACAGUAGGCUUCUCCACGAGCAACUUCACAAGCAACUCCUUAAAACUCUUAAAGGAGUCGUUUGAUUGAUGGUAUUGGAGCACUUAAUCUCAGCAUUAAAUUCUUUUAUAUAUAAUAAAAGAACGUGCAUGGGUAUUUUUAGAAGUGGAAUUAGGUGCCUCUCAUUCGAGUAUUGAGGAUAUCUAUUUUGUGAUUUAUUAGGCUUUAUGAUUUUAAGGGUAUUUCGAAGGAAUUUGGUUGGUUUUGCGGCUAAGCAUUAAGUGAUCAGCCUUUUUUUUUUUCUUUCUGGCGUCCAAUUGACUGAUCUUUUUUACACGUAUCCGGUUUGCAUUUGGCAAAGGUAUAUUUGUAAAGGGGGUGAUGCAUUGUAUUAAGUUUAGUAUAAUACGUGUUAUUAAAUGCUAAUUUAAAACGGUGCAUGUAUGUGUUGUGUUUUAAUGAUGUUAGUAUUAAUAGACGAUUUGUAUAUGUUUUGUUAAAUGCUUAUAUGGAAUGAUAUAUGCAUGUGUGGGAUUGAAUGUACCUAUAAAUAGUUGUAUGCAUCCAGUGGUGUAUGGUAGAAAUAUAGUGAAUGUUAUUAGGUUGGUGUAUUUUUCUGUCAUCGUUGGAUAAGUAUCUAUUCGAUUUUCCUCACAAUGGUGCCUCGUCUGAUUCUUCCAGUAUACAAGGAUAUAUAUGGGAUCAAGUGGUAAAAUAUAUUACGGCAAUGAAACAAAGGUUUUAAUGAAAAGAAAUUUUUACCUUCCUAUACUACAUAUGAAACUUUAUUACCCUCCCUAAUUAAGUUUUAAUUUAAUUACAUGGCCAUAUACAAUUUACCAAUUAUAUACAAAUUAGUUUUAAAUAAGUAUCCCUUUAAAUUAGGAAUUGAAUAAGGAAUCAAUUAUUUCUCAUCCUUGUUCUCUCUGUUCUUUCCCCAAUUUUUCUUCCUCUGAUGUUCUCUACUUUUUAUCCUUUCAUGUUGUAUAUAUUUCUAAUGGAAUUUAUCAUUGGAUUUCAAUCGUUUUACUGUAGAGUUUUAACAUAGCAAUUUCAAUUCAUGUUGCACAACUAGUGUUCAAAUUGAAAUUGUCAAUCAAUAAAUUUGAAGGUGUUUGACUCUCCACCAUUGACAGCCAUUAAAAAGCUUUGAAUUUGAAUUUGGGUUUUCAAAAAUCAUUAUUUGUUUGGAUUGGGUGUUGUUGCAAACAUUUGAGAAUAUUGUUUGGAGUUUAUAUCUCAAUUUUUGAGGGUGUUUGGUGAAGAUUAGACUUGNNNNNNNNNNNNNNNNNNNNNNNNNGUUAUAUUUUAAUUGUAUAUAAAUUGUAUUCUGUUGUAGUUAUAUAUAUAUUUUUUUAUUUGAUUAUUGUAUGAAAGUUGAAAAAUAGUUGUAUAAUGUAUGAAUCGUUGUAUAAAAUUUGUAUUUAAAUUAUCAAUACUAUCUUUUUACAUAAAGUUGUUGAUAUGUAUCAAAAUUGUAUUAAGAUAGAAAGUUUUGAUUGGAAUUUUAGAGAGAAAGAAACACACACCACAUACAAAAUAUAUACAAAUCAGAUACAAAAUAUACAAAAGACAAAUUGUAUAAAAUUUGUAUGAAAAUUAUAUUUAAGUUCUAUGAUGUUGUAGUUGUAUUUAACUCGGUAUAAAUAAUGUAUGAAAGUUGUAGAUAAGUUGUAAAUAAGUUGUAUACUAUAUAAUUAGUUGUAUGAAAUUUAUUUUUACUAUGUAUGUUGUUGUAGAUAUUCAAAUUUGCAUUAGAUUUAUACGAAAUUUAUUUUUAAUUUGUAUGUUGAUGUACCAUACAUUAUUCUUUUCUCAGUUGAUUUAUUAAGGAAAAAAAGUAGAGAAUAAAUUCCAAAGCUACUCAUGUACUUUUAGAUGAAGAUUGUGAUGGAGUAUUUGAUGGUGCCAAUGGCAGUGGAGAACUCUUUUCUCAAAAAAUAAAUUGUCAAGUCGAACCUUUUGGUUGGUUAUAAGCUAAAGUAAUUUGCAAGAUAUUGCCUAGAAAAUAGUGUAAAGACUUGGUCAUUGCAUAUCAGUGAGCAGUUGAGUUAUGUAAAAAUCCCCAGGAAAGAAGGAAAACGAGAGAAAAAGAAUCAAAAGAUCCUCAGUAGUUCUAUCUACGAAAGCGAAAAAGAACAGCAAAUUUCUAUUAGAAGAUCAUACACUGUUCUUUCCCCUUAAAACAGUGUAUGAUGAUGAUAAUUAAGGAAGCAAAUUCUUGUAAAAUUCAUAGAGCCAAGUUUUGUUAAAAGCAAUUAAGGCGGCAGAAUUUUUUUGACAUUUCCUUAUCACUCUAAAAAGAUUUUUCCUUAAUUUUACAAGCAAUUAAGGGGGAAGAAAAACAAGGAAAGAGGAGAGGAGAAAAAAAAAAGAAAAUGGGUAUAACUGAAUCCCCUAAUUUAAGGCACUAAUAAUGGAUUGUAUAUAAUUUGUAAGUAAUCCUUGUUUAGGGCGGGUAAUAUACAAAACUAGGACAAUUUUGGUAAAUAAAUUUCAAAUAUUGUAUAGGAAGAAAAAAAUCCCAAAUAAAAAUUUGCAAGGGCCCAAUUCAUGCAAUAUAUCGGCUUAAUUCAUGACAAGGCUUGGACUUCUAUUCGAUAUUGAUUUGUUGUUUUUUAGUUCUUUGCUUUAUAUUUAUGUUGUUAGUCGUACGUUGUCUCUAACAAUAUUAUGUAUUGUCGACCCCAAAUUCCAUCAAAGUCAUGAUGGCGCCUAACAUUACUUGUUCGGCAAGCCAACAUCAAAUAUACUGAAAUAAACUUUAAUAAUUAUUGAUACUCAAUUUUACCCUCAUGUUUGUCACUUAGCCAAUAUAUCCUAUAAUAUAUUUUUGUACAUUUAAAAUAAUAUUUGUAGAGUAUUUUCUUACAUUAUUAUUCCAUGACAUAUCUUAAAUAUCAAUCUUUUAUACAUUUAUUAAAUUAUUAUCAUGAAAGUUUCCUAAAAAUAAUUUUAUUUUAUUUUUGUAAGGUUUUUAAAUUAAUUUUGGCAUUUUAAUUGGUAAAUAUUUAUUAAUUACUCUCUUAAAAUUAUUCUGAGUGAUUAAUUGUCCAAACUAAUUAUUUAAAUCUCCAUGCAUAUUUUAUAAUAAUUUACAUCAUUUUAUAUAAUUACAUUUGUAUUUUUUAUUCAUUUGCAUAUCAUUCGCAAUAAUAGCCAAUAUUUUUCAGUAAUUGUCUUUAUUAUGAUAUUUAGGUUAAAAUAGAAAUUUUAUAUUACAAUCUAUUAUUUUAAAAGUGUUAAUUUCAAAAUAGUAUUUUUUUAAUCAUUUUAUAGGCAUUUCUAUUUAUUUGUAAAUUAAUUUCUAUGUAUUUUUUUUAAUUUUAGCCCAAAGUGAGGUUAAAAUCUGGACCAAAAUUGGUCCAAAUCUCAAGCACAGCUACCCCAGGCCCAAAACCAAACGAACCCUUGAUAAAAUCCGGUCGGGGAUGUAACGAUCUGACCGGUCGUUUUGUGUAUUGUAGCCUGUUUUCCUAUUUAUUGCUUCUUCAACGUUCAUUUGUGGUUAUGUGAUUUGCCGGGAUGGUUGGAUUAGUUCCGGGAAGGUUGUGCAGUGAAUUGGGAGGUUGGAGGCUUAAGUUGAAAGAGUUGACAUGAGUUCGACUUUUGUGUAGACGACUCCGUAAAGGUGUUUCGAUAAUUCCAAUAGUUUCGUAUGGUAAUUUUGGACUUAGGAAUAUGUCCGGAUAUGAAUUUGGAUUUUCAUAGGUUGAUUUGGUGCUUUUUGGUGAAAGUUGGAAAGUUGAAGGUUUGGAAGGUUGGGAGAUUUGACCAGUGACUUUGUUGAUAUAGGGUUCGGAUUUGACCAUUGUGUCAUUUGGGACUUAAACGCAAAAUUUGAGGUCAUUCGGAGUUGAUUGAAUAUGGUUCGACAUGAAUUUUGGAAGUUGAAAGUUCAUUAGUUUCAUUAGGCUUGAAUUUAGGCGUGAAUGCUACGUUUUUUGUAUGUGUAUCUAUAUUGAGAUUAUUUUGUAAAUUACUAAAUGAGUUAUAAAUAUUGAUUACCCUUUUUGUGUAUCUGUUGUGCCAUUAGCAAUUUUGUAGUCAAUGUUUUGGUUCGCUAAUAAAUGGUAUGCAAGCUUAUUUUUAUUUUUCGCACUGUCUCAGUCAAAUUUACUUAGCAUGUCGCUACAUGCCCUGUUUAUGAACCAAAAAAAACAAACAUAUAACACUAUAUUCUUAAAUGGUCUGAUCUCUAUUCCUUUCUGCCUCUGGCCAUUUAUGGUAAAAUAGAAACAACAAUCUGCCCACACACCAAAAAAACCACUUCGAAAAGAAGAAAUAAACAGCGUAUGAAAAUUUAGUGAUUGUUGGGGCAACUGAAUAUGUUACCUUAAUUAGCUGGAAGACAAUCAAAUAUCAAAACCCCCGCUGCUACUUAUGGCGCCCUCUACUCCCUUCCACCCCCUUUAAAUGACGAAGUGACGAAGGGAUCACAAGGCUAGAAAUUUUGCUAAGAAUAUUCAAAUUUUAGACAACCUAAAAAUUCAUCAUCUAUUCGAAUUCACAAGUCACUCUUGAUAAAUUUUGUUGCUGAAAGUUAGUAAAGCAAGUUUCACUACACGAAUAAAAGAGGAUAAUUGAACAAUUUCUUUGUCUCAAUUAUUUAUCUUGAAAUAUUACCAAACCCAUUUGAUUGGAGAAAAGAGAACAAAGUUAAUUAUGAAUAGCUACGCCACUGACCACAAGGGCAACCAGAUAGUUGGCUUCUCCCAGAGCAUCAACUUCACAAGCAAUACCUUAAAGAAGUCGUUUGAUUGAUGGUAUUGGAGAAAUUACUCUAAGAUAAAAUUUAUCAUAAGGUAAUAUAGUGCUUUGAUUGGAUACAAAAAGAAAUACCUUUUUAAAGUAAGUAAUUCGUGUAUAACAAUCUUUUCAUUAUUAAUCUCGGUGUUUGAUCAAAAAGUGUAAUUUUCAGUUAAACUGUUUAAUUUAUAUAAUGAGUUAAAUUUAGUUAAGGAUAAUAACUCUAGAUACUAAUCUCUAAAACAUGCAGCAGGUGGGGACAAAUCCCGUAGAUAGUUGAUGAGGACAAGUGCAUAAGAUUCUUAAAGCAUGAACAUUGAUGGAGAUAGAAUUAACAAUAAAUGGUAAUAAAUGACAUUUAAGUAAAUGAGAAAAAUAAUUCACUCAAUAAUAGAUGUGUUAAAUCAAGGUUUCUCCUGACAAUGAUGAGUGACCGAUGGGUCCUAGAUUUGUAUGAACAAUCUUCGUAUCUGGUGAAAAGGUGGGGAAUAAUAUGAACUAGAAUCUUAUCAAAAGGUAGUUUUUGUAUUCUUGCAAGGGAGAGAGAGAGAAUCUUCUUUUCAAAAGUAAUCUUAUCAAAAUGAAUAUUAUAUGCCCCUAUCAUGGUCUCUUUUUUCUCCAUAUAUGGGGCAUUUUUCUAGAAAAUCCUAAUAGUACAAAUGAAGGGAAUAUCCAAUAGAAUAUUCACUCUUAAUAUCCUAUCCUGACAAAUUAGCCGUUACAAGUCUUAUCGUCAAUAGUCAAUCUCGACCUCGACCCUUGUUGACAAUCUCGACCUCGACCCUUGUUGACAAUUUCGACUACAACUCCUGUCAACACCUCGGCCAAUGACUUUGCUGCAUCUUGGGCGAGCUCGACUAAUUCUUUCCUUAAUGACAUAUUACGCUAAAUUUCCUAGAGACGGAUUUUAACCUAUACAGUUAGUCCCUCCGCUUAUUAAGGCCGACGUCAGAAAGCCUUGAUGAGCGGACUCUGUAUACAUGACCGAAGUGUUUAGAUAAGAUGGAUGGGCCAUAGUGAUUAGGGGCGAGUAAGCGACGUGUCCUAUUAUAAACCGUAAGUUCUGGGGUCGCAAAUCUCGCGAAUCAAGGUGACAUCAUGGCGGCUGAUGUCAUUAUGGCGCAAUUUCCCGAGACCCUGCUUCAUUUUGCGCGCGCCUUCUGAUAGAGCCUGAUGCUUCAGUUGCUGUGUCACGCAAUGAUGGUCAAUUUCUUGGUUUUGAUGCAUGCAUCUUUAUAAAUAGGGGUGCGUGAGUAACGUUCUAACAUUUACGAAACUUCUAGUACCCAGCAAACUCAGCAUCUUCUUCUUCCUCCAUUGUUUGAAAUUUCAUAGUGGUUUUAGCGAUUCUCACAGCUUUCAAUCCUUCUGUGCUUAAAACAUCUUUUCUCACAAAUAUGGUUAACGUACCUUCUGGUUCCGGCAUGGAGGCUGACCCUACCCCCUUGGUGGUACGUAUGCCUCCUAACGACGAUGGUGUUUCUGUUGCCCUUGAAGAUGAGAGGUUUCCUACGGUGGAGGAAAUAAUUCCUCACAGUGAAAAGAUUAGAUCUGACUUUUCGAAGUUGCCUGAAGAUGAUCCUGAGGCCUCGAAGUCAAUGAUGAACGAGGUCGACCUCGCUGAGUUUAGGAUAAAGUUCAAUAUUCUGGCUCACAUUGAUCUGAUUCCGGUGGGGCGCGAUGUGGUACAGGUACAUCACCCAGGAUAUUUCGCGUUCUAUGCGUAUCCGUUCUAUGUAGGCUAUUCCUUUCCUCUUCUCCCAUUGGCGGAGGAAUUUUGCAGUUACUACGGCGUCUGGCCGGCCCAACUCUCCCCUUAUAUCUACAAGGUUAUCCGUAUGUUGACAAAAUAUGCGAAGUUGGCUGGUGUCUAACUUUGCCACCUGAUGUAUCUAUUCGCCCCUAGUUUCUAUAGGGGGACGAUGCUGCACCUUCACCACCGAGGAAGUAAACGUUUGGUGGUGAAGAUGGACGAUAAGGCAAAUCACCAGUUCUGGCUUGACGACUUAUUCGUCAAGACUAAGGACGUGGUGGUCAAUGCGAGCGGAUUCGCUGAGGCUUGGAAUUACGCCCGUAAGUAUCUUUUUGCCGAGCAUUUAUUUUUCCUGCUUUAGUCGUAGUCUAACAUCCCAUCCCUUCUUCGUGCAGUUGAGACUUCGUCCCCUCCUUUGGUCGGGGACAUUCAUGACUGGGUCAGCCAGGUCUUGCCUCACAUAGUGAGAAUUCGUGAAUUGCCGACCUUUAUCAAGAAAUUCGGGCAUGCACCUUUCGUGACCGGUGAGUUCGUAUAAAUGUAUUUAUUUAUGCAUAUAUAAUUAUUACCUUUUGGCUAUACCGUUUUGACCUCAUGGUUGCCUGCUUGUUGCGAUUUUGUACAGGAAGUGAUAGUUUUCUAAUUUUUCAUUUUCAGCCUGAGGACCUUUGAGAAGGCAGAAGGCUCCUGGUCCGGCGUUUCGUAAGAGGAAGGCUGCUUCUGUUCCUUUUGCUGUGGUGAGGUAUGCUCGGUCGUCGACUAUUCCUCCAGUAGGGAUUUCGACUUCCCCUUUGCAUCAUCUAAUAGACGAGGACGAUGAGGAGGAAUCGUCGCUGAAUGGUGAUAACUUGCUUCCCCGUAAGAGGUGAUAUGUGGAUAUUGGCGAAGGGGCUAUCCGGGCGGCGAGUUCGGUGAUGGGGGAUUUUGUCGUGCGAUAAACGGUGACCAUAGAACUUGGAGGUGACGCCGAAUUAUUGCCCGCGAUUCUGCUGUCGUCAGGAGCCGAGGAGGGUACGUCUCUCCCUGAGACCAUGACGGAUUUUGAAGGGCCGUCGGCAAGAGUCCCUGACAACUUACGGCGAAAUGAAACAUCGACCUCGCUACCAGCCAAGGAUCCUUCUUCCCGGGUUGACACAAAAGGAAAAAGCAUAGCCGAAGAAGGUUACGAUACGGGCUCCGAUAUGGAUGCCGAGGAAGUGAGGAUGAUGGGGAAGGGCUUACCCGACUUGAGGUGAGAUUGGAGGGGACCACGCGGAUUAUUGUUAUCCCCUUGGACUGAGAUUUGCUGGUUGACACGGAGGACGCGGUCUCUUCUCUUGGUCCCCUCUGUUCCGAAGUAGAGGGUAAAACCCUUGAGAAGCUUAAGGAUAUCACUUUAUCGAGUAGCAUAGCCGUCCUGACUCUUAGGGUAAGCUUUCCGAUUUCUCUCCGUUUCUUAAGUCGAGUUCAACGUUUCGUUCUUACUCCUCAUUUUCUGUCUUUCUUUCAGACCAUGAUUUUGGAGAUCAAGAGCGCCCGGCGAGAGGAGAGGUAUAAGGCCAUUUUCCAAAAGAUGGAGCAGAAAUAUCGCUAAUACCAUGAUAAGCACAGUGAGAUCUGUAGGCGGUUCGGUAGGAGCGAAAAUUUCCAGGCUCUCUAAGGUGAACUGAAGGAAAAAGAUGAUGAGUUGAUGAGGGUCAUCAAAAAAUACAGCGUUCUCGAAGGGGCGUUGAGGGACAAAGAAGAAGAACUUGAGGUGAGCAAGGGGGUCGAGGCCCAGUGCGCUGAUCUUCAGGCCCAGGUGGUUUCAUUGCGUGCCAAGCUCGAAGAAUGUCGACUAAGAGCGGACGCUCUGAGUGGAAAGGUCAUUGAAAAGGCAGUGGGUUUGGAGAAGGCGGAGUUGGCCCAGUUGUUGGUUGCGAGAAAAGCGAAGGCUUUAGAGAUCAUGCUCCGCAUUCUUCGUUUUGAGCGGGAGAGUGCCUAAGAGAUGUCCAGGCUCAGGGAGGAGCGACUUGAUGAGUGGAUAGGGGAGCUAGAAAAGGAGGCUUCAAGCCUUAGUGAUCAAGCUGCUGCUCUCGAGGUCGAGAAGGCGCAGUUAUUGGCUCAGCCAUCCUCUUCCCGUUCCUCUGCUUUUCUUGAUGUUCCGCAGGACUUGUACAAGGAAUGGAUUCAUGCUGAGGCCUAGCUGGAUAUAUUUAGGGAUCUGAUGGGGCGGGAGCUAUCUCAGAAGCCGACUUCAAGGAUGCUUGUGCUAAUGCGUGUAAAGCUCGGUUUGCUAUUGGCUAUGAUCCUGCCACACCGGAAGUCGGUGAUGACGAGGAAGAUAUGGGCGUGGAUCGGAUUGAACAGGACACCUGAUAUGAGGGUGAGUAUCUCGCUGGCGAUGGCGAUGGCGAUGGUAAUGGCGAUGACGAUGGCGAAGAGGUAUAUGGAGAUGGUCUGGGUGAUCAAGCUAGAGGUUCUGUUGGGUCAAGCGGUGAUUAGUUAUUUUUCUUUUUCUGUCUAGCCGCAUACGUGUGUAUUUUUGUAGGAGCGUAUUCAAUCCUUUGUAAAGAAAAAUAUUCUAAGUAUGGGAUGUUAGUUUUGUUAUUCGUACCUUUCUCUUUUUAUUUGUUUGGGUUCGUCCGCUUUUUGAUUUUUGUUGCUUGGUUACCUUUGUCAUACUAAAUUUGUUUGAGUAGGUUGAACGAGGUUGAAACGAAGCCUAGGUUUGAUUAUGGCCGAGGGCCAGUAGGUGUUGGUUCGAGAUCGAACAUGUCGCAUCUUUAGUUAAGGCCGUGGGCCGAUUAGGUGUUAAUUUGAAUGUGGUCGAAUGUAAUCUUCAUUUAGUUAAAUCCAUGGGCCAAUUAGGUAUUAAUCCGAACGAGGUCAAAUGUAACCUUUAAUUAGUUGAGGCCGUGGGCCGAUUAGGUUUUAAUCUGAACGAGGUCGAAUGUGACCUUUAUUUAGUUGAGGCCACGGGCUGAGUAGGUGUUAAUUUGAAGGAGGUCAAAUGUAACCUUCAUUUAGUUGAGGUCGUGGGCCGAGUAGGUAUUAAUUCGAUCGAGGUCGAAUGUAACCUUUAAUUAGUUGAGGCCGUGGGCCGAGUAGGUAUUAAUUCAAACAAGGUUGAAUGCAACCUUUAAUUAGUUGAGGCCGUGGGCCGAGUAGGUAUUAAUUCGAACGAGGUCGAAUGUAACCUUUAAUUAGUUGAGGUCGUGUGCCGAGUAGGUAUUAAUUCGAAUGAGGUCAAAUGUAACCUUUAAUUAGUUGAGGCCGUGGGCCGAGUAGGUAUUAAUUCGAACGAGGUCGAAUGUAACCUUUAUUUAGUUGAGGUUGUGGGCCGAGUAGGUAUUAAUUCGAACGAGGUCGAAUGUAACCUUCAUUUAGUUGAGGCCGUGGGCCGAUUAGAUGUUAAUUCGAAUGAGGUCGAAUGUAACCUUUAUUUGGGGAGAGCAGUAAUAAACUUCAUAUUUUCGUGCUUUGUUCAUAUUCUUAGAGAGAUUUACAUAUUUUCUAGGCGUUGGCUAGUAGCUCAGUCUCAGUCCCGGUCUAUCUAUUCCCUUCAUUGGUCAAACUAGAAAAAUAAUGAAAGAUCGAGCAAUGAACUAGUCGCCCAAUGUCUUCGUCUGUGCGCACUUCAAUCCUGAAGUAUUCCCGUCAUCACCUCGUUAAAAACCUCCUCGAUAAAACCUAAUUGGGACAAAACUCGAGUGAGGGAAAAAGAGUGCAACUUUGGGUACCUUGUCCUUUAAAAGUUGAAGUACUUUAGGUGUGUAAUGUUCCAAUUGUUUGGUAGUUGCUUUCCUUCCAUUGUUGCUUGUGUGAAUGACCCUUUGCUUGUUGCUGCCAUGAUUUUGUAGGGGCCAUCCCAGUUUGUUCCUAGUUUGCCUUCCCUUGGAUAUUUGCUUGCUUGUGUUUUAGCUUUAAGCACGUAGUCCCCGACUUUAAGUGGCCUGAUCUUUGCUCUUGUGUUAUAGUAGCAUUCUGCUUGUUGCUUUUGGGCGACCAUCCUCACGUAGGCCAUAUCUCUUCGUUCCUCAACUUCAUCGAGUUCCUGCCUUCUACUGUCAUCGUUCUGGUGUCCGCUUUCACGGAAGUAUCUUAGGCUUGGCUCCCCGACCUCCACUGGUAUUACUGCAUCAGUCCCAUAGACUAAUGAGUAAGGCGUUUCCCCUGUGCUUGUUUUUGGCAUUAUUUGGUAGGCCCAGAAGUACUUCUGGUAAUAUAUCCGGCCACAGUCCCUUGGCGUCUUCGAGCUUCUUCUUCAUGAUGUUCAGUAUUGACUUGUUGGAGGACUCCGCUUGCCCGUUGCCCACGGGGUGGUAAGGCAUUGAUAGUAUUCUUCUGAUGUGCCAUUUUUCAAAAAGGUCGGCGACCUUCUUUCCCGCAAAUUGAGGUCCGUUGUCGCAGCUGAUUUCUUUAGGGAGACUGAAACAGCAUAUGAUGUUUUUCCAUAUGAAGGCAAUUACUUCCUGUUCGCAUAUUUGGGCGAAUGCUCCUGCUUCCACCCAUUAGAGAGGUAGUCAGUUAAAACCAAGAGAAAUCGUACGUUACCUCACCAUGCCGGGAGGGGGCCCACGAUGUACAUUCCCCAUUUGAUGAAUGACCAAGGGGAAGUUACUGAGUGUAGGUGUCCGCCUGCUUGGUGGAUCAUUGGGGCAUACUUCUGGCAUUACUCAUAUUUUUUCAUGAAAUCUGCGACCUCCUUUUUCAUGGUGGGCCAGUAAUACCCCGUUCGUAUGAGGCACCUGACCAAAGCUCGAUUGCCGGAGUAAGCUCCACAGUGACCUUCGUGUACUUCUUUAAGGACAACCCCCGUCUGAUUUGGGCCUAAGCAUUUCGCUAGAGAGUCGCCAUAUGUCUUUUUGUACAGGUCGUUGUGAAUGAUGCUAUAUCUAGAUGCUUGCAUUCACAGCUUCUUGGCCUCUUUUUAUCAUUGGGGAGUAUGUCGUCCUGCAAAUAUAUAAUAAUACGGUUGCGCCAGUCCCAAGUCAGGUUUAUGGUUCUUACCCCGAUUUGGCCUAUCGACGACUUGAGGAGGUGCAUCACAUUUUGGUCUCCUGUUGUAAUGUUUUUAGUGGCUGCUGCUAAUUUGGCGAGGCCAUCCGCCUCGAUAUUCUGUGCUCGGAGAAUCUGGUCAAGCUGACAUUCAUCGAUCUGGGCUAGUGGUUUGCAAAUUUCGGUCUAAUAUUUUUGUAACCUCUGCUCCUUGAUUUGGAAAGUUCCUGUGACUUGGUUGACCAUGAGCUGAAAAUCGCAGCGCAACCUCAGCCUCUUCGUCCCAUAUUUGAGUGCUAGUCUUAAUCCUACAAUUAUGGCCUCAUACUCGGCCUCGUUGUUAGUCAUGUCCGGGCACCUUAUUGACUGGCGAAUCACUUCGCCUGUUGGAACUUCGAGAAUGAGUCCCAGCCCGGACCCCGACGCGUUAGAUGCACCGUCGGUGACCCAGAGGUCCUGUGUUUGGGAAGAAGUGUGGACGGCUUCCUUUUCUACUUCAGGCAUUAUUUACGCACUGAAGUCAGCGACGAAGUCGGCAAGGACCUAUGACUUUAUGGCCGUUCACGGUCGAUAGGUAAUAUCAUGCUUUCUUAGUUCGAUGGCCCAUUUGGCCAAUCUGCCCGAUAGUUCGGGUUUGUGUAAAAUGCUUCUUAAGGAGAAAGGCAUGACGACCAAGAUGGGAUGGCAUUGGAAAUACGGUCCAAGCUUUCGUGAAGCUACGACUAAGGCCAGAGCCAGUUUUUGAAGAUGGGGGGUACCUCAUCUCGGCAUCGACUAGUGUCUUGCUAAUGUAAUAGAUGGGAGAUUGCGUACCUUUAUCUUCUUGGACCAAGACCGCGCUCACAGCUACUCCGGACACGGCGAGGUAGACGAGGAGAGGUUGUCCUAGUUCCGUUUUUGAGAGCAACGGUGGCGAGGACAAGUACACCUUUAACUCCUUCAGGGCUUGGACGUACUCAGGGGUCCAUUAGAGGCUGUUUUCCUUUUUGAGUACGCCGAAGAAUUUGUGGCACCUAUCAGAGUACGGUGAGAUGAACCUCGAAAGGGCGGCGAUAUGGCCAAUCAACUUCCAGAUCUGCUUUUUGGUGGUCAAGUGCUCUGGUAUCCCGUCGAUGGCCUUGAUUUGGUCGGGAUUCACCUCGAUACCCUGCUGCGACACUAGGAAAUCCAAGAAUUUCCCUGAGGCCAUGACGAAUGCACAUUUUUCGUGGUUCAGUUUCAUGCCGUAUUGCCUGAGUAUGCCGAAGGUUUCUCUUAAGUGGUCGAUGUGAUCUUUUUUCCUUUUGGAUUUGACCAGCAUGUUGUCGAUGUAUAACUCCAUCAUUUUUUCGAGUUAUUUUUUGAACAUCUUCGUCACCAGCCUUUGGUAAGUUGCCCCCGCAUUUUUCAAUCCGAAAGGCAUGACCCUAUAGUAGUACGUUCCUUGGUGGGUGAUGAAGAUGGUCUUUUCCUGGUCCUCCUCCUCCUCCAUAAGGAUCUGGUUGUAGCCCGAGUAAGCAUCCAAGAAACUUAGCAACUCGUGCCCGGCUAUCGCAUCAAUGAGCUGGUCGAUAUGAGGUAAUGGGAACAAAUCCUUGGGGCAAGCUUUGUUCAGGUCGGUAAAUUCUACACACAUCUGCCACUUGGCAUUAUUAUUUUUCACCAUGACCACGUUGGCAACCCUUUGGGGGUACUUCGACUCACUGACGUAACCAUUUUCCAAUAAUAUUUUCACUUCUUCAGGCACUUCAUCAUUGAUUACGGAGUUGAACUUUCGUCAAACCUGCCUCACUGGGGGGUAGAAUGGAUCGACGUUUAAUUUAUGUAUGGAGAUCUCUUUUGGGAUACCUGGCAUAUCUGCAUGGCUAAAAGCAAACAAGUCCGCGUUAAUAGUUAAAAAUUCACGAAACUUACUCGGCUCUUGAAGUUUGCAGCUGAUGUAAGCUUUCUUGUUGUGGUCGCUGCUGUCUAAUCGGACUAGGUCAAGGUUCUCUAUGAUCAAUCCUACAGCCUCGACCGAGUCAGGGUCUUUGAUGACGUCUUCGCCGUCAUCGCUUACCAACCUCGACCUUGUUGAUUGCUAUGCCUCUUUCUCUCAAUCUCUCAUUUGUUAAGUGGUCGUGCAGUCUAAGGCGAUGCGGUAGCACUCUUGGGAUGUGCGUUGCUCCCCGCGUAUGCUGAAUAUGCCCCAUGGACUUGGGAAUUUGAUAACUUGGUACAAGAUUGAGGGUACAACUCUCAUGGUGUGUAUCCAUGGUCGCCCUAUUAUGGCGUUGUAUGCCAUGUCCUGGUUCAUGAUAUUGAAUGUGAUCUCCAGAGUGACUCCACCCGCCAGGAUGGGGAAUGUGAUUUUGUCGGAUGUUCGUUCAACUACAUUGUUAAAUCCUGUUAGUGUGAUACAGCGUGGUACUAUCUUGUCCUCGAGUUUCAUUUGUUUGAGUACUCGAGUAUGGAUAAUACAUGCACCGCUCCCAUCAUCUACCAUAAUUUGUCUCACGCCGGUAUCUAAAAUACGUAAAGUAAUAAAGAGAGCAUCAUAGUGAGGGAAUGCCAAAUCGUUGGUAUCUGACCUAUCGAAGAUGAUACUUUCUUCGAGUUCAUCAUACCGUUCGUGGGUGAUCGACCCUUUGAGCUUGUGGGUUGUGGUGAACUUCACGCUGUUGAUGGAAGCAUCAUCCCCGCCACCGAUGAUCAUGUGGAUGGUGCGGGCUGGCGAGGGCGGCUUCGGUGACCCUUGAUGUUGUUCGCGUCCCCUAGCAAAGUUGGUUCUUCCCCGAUCGCUCAGCAAUUCUUUGAGAUGUCCCUGUCGCAGCAUGUUUACGACCUCCUAUCUUAGGGCGAUGCAAUCUUCAUUUUUGUGUCCUCGCUCUUGGUGGAACUCGCAGAUGGCGUCUGAUUUUCUGGUAUUCAGGUCCGACCUCAUCUUUUGUGGCCACUUUACCUUUGAUCCGAGCUUCUCUAAGGCGUAGACGAUCUCUAUAGGUGACACGCAAAAAUUAUGAGCGGAUAGUAAAAGGGACAUACCUCUCUCAUUCCGGUAAGUCCCAGUUCUUGAUCGAGGCAGGCCUUCUUCAUGGCGAGAUGAGGAUACGGCGGUAGUUCUGACAUAUGGGAUAUGUCGUUCCCGGUUUGGCAGUGAGGCUACUGGAUCUCUUCUGAUAUCACUUCUCCGAUCUUUCCUGGAUUCCGCUUGUACUGAGGUCAGUCGAUGAGUCGGUCCAUUGAGGUCGUGUUCAUCUGCUCGGACUUCGGCACAAUACGCAUUAUGUAUUUCAUCCUAAGUCAUUGGGGGAUAUUUUAUAAGCCGUCUUAAUAAUUUUCUUGUCGCCCUUGAACUAUUUCUGUUCAACCGUUCUGAAAACAGCUACCGCCAUUCGUUCUGAUACAUUAGGUAAGGUCAUUCUUACUCGGUUGAAACGGGUGAGGAAGUCCCUUAGUCCUUCUCCCGUGGACUGUUUGAUAGCAAAGAUGUCAUUCACUCUUGCCUCAGCCUUCUUGGCCUCGGAAUGGGCCGUCACGAACUUAUCGUCCAUUCCCUCAAAGGUUUCGAUGGAACGAGCUGGCAUUUGCGAAUACCAGGUUAAUGCACCUCCCGUAAGGGUUUUGCCGAAUAUUUUUAGCAGAAUAGAGGAUACUUGUUCUUUGGCAAGGUCAUUGCCUUUCACAGCGGUGACGUAAUGGGUCACAUUAUCCUCGGGGUCAGUCAUGCCGUCAUAUAUUUUCAGAUAAGGCUGCAUUUUAAAGGUCUUUGGUGUGGCAUAUGGGGCCGCACUAUCAUUGUACGGCUGCUCGAUGAAUAGACCGACAUAUCUCUUCGGCAAUAACUUAGGAGCGCCCGGUAUUUUGUCGAUCCUUUCUUGGUGUUCUCUCAUUUGAUCCCGAAAUGUCUUUUUCUCGUUUUCCAUUUCCUCCAUCCUUUUCAGAAUGUCUGUAAGAGCGUCGUCGCCUAUAUUGUGAACAACAUUGUAAGUAAUACCUGUCGUCAUGGGUGGAGGAGGAGGCUGGUCAUGUUGCUCGCCCACUGGUGAUGUAUCAUAUGUUCUCGCCUUUGCUGCGGUCGCAUCCUGAACGGGCUUAUGGAGGACGCUGGUCAGUGUAUCAGUUAGCCAAGCUUCAAGGAGCUUCUUUAUCGCUGGUGGUGUCUCAUCUCCCACAGAUGUGGAGGCUGUCUUGCCAAGGGACUUUUUGAUGCUGCAAUGGGGAGGGGGUGAUCCACCUCGCCUAGGAGAGGCAUUGAGCGUUGUGUCCUUGUCUACUGCUUCAGAGCUUUCGUGGAUGAUGUCUAUGAGGUUGGUUAGGAGGUCACUCAUUAUUCUCGUUCUCUGUUCUCUGUUACCUGCCAUGUUAGAUCUAUGCAUGUAGAGAGAAGAAGGUUCUUCUUUUUGUUUUUUUUUGUCAGUAACCAAUGUCGGUUGUAGAUCUAGAAAAACUAAAAGACUUAGCUAGAAAUGCCCCAUAGACGACGCCAAAUUGUUUGACCAAAAAGUGUAAUUUCCGGUUAAACUGUUUAAUUUAUAUAAUAAGGGGUUAAAUCUAGUUACGUAUAAUAACUCUAGAUACUAAUCUCUAAAACAUGUAGUAGAUAGGGACAGAUCCCGUAAAUAGUUGAUGAGGACAAGUGCAGAAGAUUCUUAAAGUAUGAACAUUGAUGGAGAUAUAACUAACAAUAAAUGACAAUAAAUGGCAUUUAAGUAAAUAAGGAGAAUGAUUCACCCAAUAAUGGAUGGGUUGAAUGAAGGUUUCUCCUAACAAUGAUGAGUGACCGAUGGGUCCUAGAUUCGUAUGAACAAUCUUCGGAUCUGGUGAAAAGGUGGGGAAUAAUAUGAACUAGAAUCUUAUCAAAAGGUAGUUUUUGUAUUCUUGCAAGAGAGAGAGAGAGAGAGAGAAUCUUCUUCUCAAAAGUGUUCUUAUCAAAAUGAAUAUUACAUGCCCCUAUCAUUGUGUCUUUUUUCUCCAUAUAUGGGGCCUUUUCCAAAAAAACCCUAAUAGUACAAAUGCAGGGAAUAUCCAAUAGAAUAUUCCCUCUCAAUAUCCUAUCCUAACAAAUUAGCCGUUACAAGUCUUAUCGUCAAUAGUCAAUCUCGACCUCGACCCUUGUUGACAAUCUCGACCUCGACCCUUGUUGACAAUUUCGACUACGACUCCUGUCGUCACCUCGGCCAAUGACUUUGUUGCAUCUUGGGCGAGCUCGACCGAUCAUUUCCUUAAUGCCAUAUUACGCUAAAUUUCCUAGGAACGGAUUUUAGCCUAUACACUCGGCAUAAGCAAUCCCUACAUAAAAGUGCCUCCACCUCACGUAUCUCCUAGAUUCACCAAACCAAUUCAAUUUUCAAACAAGUGAAUCAAUCAAAUCAUGACUUUGGUUAGUACCAUCACUUAGUAUUAAGCAUGGCAAUGCCUUUCAAUCAGAAGCAUUAGACGACCACAAACCAAAACCAACAUAGUUGUAACUCCUUAGCCUCACACAGUAUCUCAAGAAUACCAAAUUCUUUUGGUUCAUCUUAUUUGCCUUUCAAGGAGGAAGAACUCCUUCUCCCUUCAUGUUUCAAGUGCGCUCACACAUAUACAAGUGCCCUUCACUCGUAUAUGUUACAUUUGAACAGGGACAAUCAAUUCAAGAAAUAUAUUAUCACCCAUGCUCACAAAGAUAUUAAAUUCAUGCUCACGUGAACCCAUCGAUUUGGCCUUCAUGCAAUCUCCAUUCAUGUAAGCCCAUGCUUAGACAUCGAUAUUUUAAGAACACUUGUAAUGUAAAGUACUAGUAUAUAACUAGAAUAUUUCUUAUCCUAGACUUCAAAAUCUCAUAGCAUAAAUUUUAUGUAUACCAAGCUAGUAAGUGAUAAUUCAUUCUUAAGAUAACGAAAUCAACUUGGUACAUGUGUUUUUUUCUUUAAAAGAGCAGAUUCUAUUAACCAAAAACUUGUAGAGCUACAAAACUAAGUAGAUGGUGACCAUCUACUAUCCUCUUCUAUGUACUUCUAACUCUAGCUUAAAAAAAUUAUAAACUAGUAUUCUCAACAAACACAAACCAAAAGCUAGGGAACUUCACACAUUACACGAGCUAGAGGCAGAGGCAAAUCCAUGAUUUAUAUUCAAUUGGUUGAACUUUUUAGGAUUUUACCAUUGAAUCCAUUAUAUUUCUAAAGUUAUAGGUUCAUAUCUACUAUUUUUGUAAUUUUAAUAAAUUCUGACAUAAAAUUUUAUUAUGCGUCGAAAGUUAUGGGUUCAACUGUAACGACCCGACUAGUCGUUUUGAGCUUUAGUACUUCAUUCGUCAGUUCAAUACCUUGAGUAGCUUCACAUUAUGCAUUAUGAUAUGCGCGUAUGGCUGGUUUUGAUUUUCGACAGGUUUAGAGUUGAUUUGGAAGAGUAAUUCUCAAUUCAGAAGCUUUAAGUUGGAAGAGUUGACCAAGAUUUAACUUUUGAAUGAUGGUUUCAAUAGGUUUGUAUGGUGAUUUUGGACUUGGGCAUAUGUUCGGAUAUGAAUUUAGAUGUUCCUAGAAGGUUUUGGCUCUAUUUGUCGAAAGUUGGCAAUUUGAGAAAUUUGUAGAGUUUACAAGGUUGACCAGGAGUUGACUUUAGACCUUCGGGGUCAGAUUAUUGUUCCAGAAAUUAGAAUAGUUCUGUUUUAUCAUUUGAGACUAGUGUGCAACGUUUGAGUUCAUUCUGUAUUGGUUAGACGUGAAUCAGAUGCAUGAUUCGAAGUUGGGAGUUUAUGAACUUAAGAGAUUGAUCUUGUUCGAUGAUUCAUGGUUUUGAUGUUAAUUUUGGUGUUUUGAGCCUUCAGAUAAGUUUGGAUUAUGUAUAUAGACUUGUUGGCAUGUUUGGACGGGGCCCCGAGGGGCUCGGGUGAGUUUCGGGGUAGCUUCGAAUCAUUUCGAGCCACUUUGUGAUUGCAGAUGUGCUGGUGUUCUGUUGGUCUUCGUGUUCGCGGCCAAAGAAUCACAUUCGCAUAGAGUAAAUUUGGCCACUGGGCAGCUAUACUUCGCGCUCGUGUAAUGACCCGGCCGAUCGUUUUGAGUAUUAUAGCCUUAUUCCCCCAUUUACUGCUCUAUUUGUGCCUUAUCGCUGUAUUAAGACCUAUCAGAUUAGUUAGUUUGGGUCUGGAGAGAUUUGGGAAUGAAAUGAGACAGUUAGUAAUUAAAAAUUUAAGUUAGAAAAGUUUACCAGAUGUGAACUUAUGUGUAAACGACCUUGGAUUUGAAUUUUGAUGAUUUCAAUAGCUCAGUAUAGUGCUUUUGGACUUAGGAGCGUGUCCGGAAAAUGUUUUGGAAAUCCGUAGUGGAAUUAAGCUUGAAAUGGCAAAAGUUAAAUUUUUGGGAAGUUUGACCGGGGGGUUAACUUUUUGAUAUCGAGGUCGGAAUCCGAUUCUGGAAAUUUGAAUAGGUCCGUUAUGUCAUUUAUGAUUUGUGUGCAAAAUUUGAGAUCAAUCGGACUUGAUUCGAUAGGUUUCGGCAUCAAAUGUAGAAGAUGGAAUUGUUUAGUUUCAUUAAGCUUGAAUUGGGGCAUGAUUCGUGGUUUUAGCAUUGUUUGAUGUGAUUCGAGCCUUCGACUAAGUUCGUAUGAUAUUUUAAGACUUGUUGGUAUAUUUGGUUUGAGGUCUCGAUGGGCUCGGGUGAGUUUCGGGGUGGUUUCAGACUAUUUCUAGGCCAUUUUUAAUUGGUGGUUUUUGUCUACAGAGGUGUGCAUCGCGAUUGCGAAUAUUUUGUCGUGUUCGCGAAGACCAAACAGCAGUUUGGGGACUUGUGAAUUGCGAUCGCGGAAGAUCUUUCGCGAUCGCGUAGAACAAAAUCUCUACUGCACUGACCCGACUUUGGAAGCUUAUAUCUCGCAAUCUAUAAGCAAUUUGGAGAUAAUCCAUAAAUAAAAGUUGUAGCUCUUGAUGUCUAGUUUUCAGAAAGCUAAACUGUUUUUCGUUUGGAGUUUUGUACAAAAUGUUAUGACCAUUAUACUAGAGGUUGUUUGGAAGAGUUGGGGCGUUUGUUCUUCACUAUCGCGAUUGGUUUUCCACGAUCGCGAAGGGCAAUUUUGGGGCUGGAAAAUUUUGUGCUUCACGAUCGCGAAGCAUUUUUUGCGAUCACGAAGAGUAAAUGUCUGGGCAAAAGCUAUAUUUCAAGGUUUCGACCAUUUUAACGCAUUUGGAGCUAUGGAGCUCGGAUUGAAGCGAUUUGUGAGGCGAUUUUUACCAUAUGGAUUGGGUAAGUGAUUCUAACUCGGUUUUGGUUAAAUUACAUGAAUCUAUUGCUUUUAUCAACAAAUUAGUUUUUUGGGUUGAAAAUAGUAGAAAGAUUCAUAGACUUUAAUUGAGGAUUUGAAGGCCGAGUUGUGGUUGAAUUUGAGUAAUUUUGAUAUUGUUGGACUCAUGGUUGAAUGGGGAUUCAGAUUUUGUGAGUUUUAUCGGAUUCCGAGAUGUGGGCUCCACUGUCGAUUUUUGAGUGUAAUUUUGGAUUUUGUCGGAAAAUUAGUAUUUUCAUAUGAAAUUAAUUCCUAUAAUUUGUGUUGACUAAAUCAAAUUAAUUGUGACUAGAUUCGAGCAGUUCAGAAGUUGAUACGCGCAGAAUAGAAUUUCUGGAGCAUUGUUUAGCUUGCUCAAUAUUGGACUCGGCUUGUUCGAGGUAAGUAACUCUUCUAAUCUUGGAGCUGAGGGUAUGAACCCUGAUUAUACGUGUUAGGUGUUUGGUGUUGAGGUGAAGCACAUGCAAGGUGGCGGGCGAGUAGGCGGGCACCGUGUGAGCUGUGACUCCGAUGUUUAUGUGGUACUGUGUAGUUACCUGAACUUGUCUGAAAUCAUGAAAUUUCUACGUACUAGAGUUAUCAAAAUGUAAUUCAUGUUAUAAACUAUGUUUAGGCUACAUGCUUAUCCUGUUGGGACCCACCGAGGUCAUUUUUGCUAUUGCGUUAUCUGCUUUCAUUGCAUUACAUACUCAGUCAUACGCAUUUAUAUGCAUAUCAUAUCUCAGUCUCUGUUGUUAUUUAUUGAUACAUCAUAUCAUCAUUUUCGGGCUAAUUUUAUGACAUUGUAAGCCCGUGAGAGAGAGACUGGAGAGAUUGAUGACUAAGUGAGGUCGAGGGACUGAUUGAUUCUGAUAUUGAAACUAUGGCACGUACUUUGUCCGUGCAGAUUAAACCCUUUGACUGAAGGAGCCCCUCCGGAGUCUGCACAUACCCUAAGUGAGCGCGGUUCAUUUAUAUUGAGGGAUGGAUCUUCCAUGGACAUGGAUCUUAUCCGAAACAUUUAUAUUGAGGGAUGGAUCUUCCCUGGACAUGGAUCUUGUCCGAAGCAAUUAUAUUGAGUGAUGGAUCUUCCCUGGAUAUGGAUCUUGUCCGAAGAAUUUAUAUUAAGGGAUGGAUCUUCCCCGGACAUGGAUCUUGUCCGAAUAAUUUAUAUUUGGGGAUGGAUCUUCCCCUGGGCGAGAUUGGCCUUGUACAGUACUGAGUGGCUGGAUGUCAGUUAUUAUGUAUAUAUAUUGGGAUGGAUCUUCCCUGGCCUUGAUUGGCCAUAUAUAGUACUGAGUGAUUGAAUACUCUAAGAGUGCGAGUACAUGAGUUCAUCUCUGAGAUAUAUAGCAUUGACAUGGACACAUGACAUACAUGCAUAGAGAUGUAUUUUCCUCAUGCUAUACGGUAUCACGUCAUUCAUGACUUUUCACACAUAUUGACAUAUGGGUAUAAUGAUGUAUUUUACACUGGCUAUCUGGAAAGAAAAUAAAACAUCUUAUUUAUUGUUGAAAGUAGUUUUGGGAGAAUUACUGUUUUCAAACUCACUCAUAUUUUUGGCAACUUCGGUAAACGACUUGGGUUUUCACUGAUACACUUGAAAGACAGAACUAUUUUUUGAACUCUUGAUUAAGCUGAGCAUUUUAUCUUUGAGUUGCUUCUUUUAUUACUUGCUUUAUGUUGUUAUGAAUUGUUGUUGGUUAUUGGCGUUAGACUCUGACCUUGGUACAAGCUCGUCACUACUUUCAACCUAAGGUUAGGUUUGUUACUUAUUGAGUACAUGGGGUCAGUUGUACUCAUACUACACUUCUGUACCUUGCGUGCAGAUUUUGGAUGUCAAUGAUGAUGUACAUGAUGGGAGCUGGAUCUUAAGAUGUACCUACGUUCCAGUCAUUGCUGCCUCUUAUUCAUGGUAGCUUUAGAAUUUUAAUCUAUUCAUGUAUAUUUCAAACAGAUGAUGUAUUCUUAUUUCAUACCAGCUUUGUAAAUUCUAAUCUUAGAAGCUCAUGAUUUGUACUACCAGCCCUUGGGGAGUGUAUUAGAGUUAGUUAUAUAUUAAUGCAAUUGGAUAGUUGUUAAUUAGCUUACCUGACGGGUUAGGUUAGGUGCCAUCACGACUAGAUGGAUUUUGGGUCGUGACAAGGUGGUAUCAGAGCUUUAGGUUCAUAGGUUCUACAAGUCAUUAGCAAGUGUCUAGUAGAGUCUGGCAGAUCGGUAUGAUGACGUCCAUACUUAUCUUCGAGAGGCUACAUGGCAUUUAGGAUAAUUUUCCAUCUUUCUUUCCUUAUCGUGCGGAAUUGAUUCAGCUUGAAAUAUAAUUCUUUGAAUUCCUUCCACACAUUCGUGUGCACAUGUGAGCUCUCGGUAUCAGUUGUGUAUCGCCGGUUUAUGACUUCAGCGAUGACGUGCGAGAUGUGUAUUAUGUGUUUUGGUGAUAGGCCAGUCUGGAGGACUUGAGGCCAGGUUUAUACCGCAGCUUAGACUCGGCAGUUUCGAUUUUGAGGACAUGUACAUUUGGACCCAUAUGUCCGGUAAUAUCCCCACGAGUAGAAUUUGUGGCUCGAUAAGCAAUUGAAUAGCUAUAUGAUAAGUAUGAUGUAACUGCGGGAUGUGUUCAGAUGGGUUGAAUGUGACGAAUAAAGUUUACUUGUGACUCAAGAGUUUCUUUUCUACCAGCGGGGUAUAUGUUGAGAUUUGAAUUUGAAUAUGGGUGAGAAAGUUGACUUGAAUGUUAAGAGAAUAAAUGCGAUCUUAGCGGAUAAUUGAGGUAUUUUAUGGUUGGUAUUGCCUGAGCUUGAGAAGAAUUUUCAUUGAAUUAACUGCAAUAUUAUGGCAGUAAUAGAGUAUGAGUAUUGUGAGCUAUCGAGUGUUUUAAUCCAUGGCUUUGACCCAAGUGGGAGAGCCUACUAUUGACGAUUCAAUUUUAUGGUUAUAUGUAAAAAUUUAGUUUUGGUCCGAGGUAUAUUUGUCGGUUAAUUUUGACUUACAGAGGUUGGGAUCGAGGAGGACUCAAUUAAGGAAAUUCCUGAAUACGGGUUACAUUGCACUUUAUGAAAAUAUGAAAAUCAUGGGAUGUGCGAGUUGUUAUUCGUGAAUAAUGUAGUGCGCAUGGAGUAUAAAUUUUAUCAGUGGUGUUAAGGCAGGAUUACCUCUUUGAGUGGUGAUGUGCUAAUGGGGCACGUGUCUUUUAGCCUAUUUGGGCGGUUCAAUUUAGAUUCGAGCAAAGUGGGUGACUCUCGAGAAGGUGAUAGUGUAUUCAAAAAUGUAUAAGUGGCAAUUGAAAAUUUUUCGGAUUCGUAUAUCGCUAGAGUCAGUUAUUUACAUUGGAUGUUAUCGAGACUUGCGCUAAUCCUGUAUGACUAUGGAUUCUACAUUCUGAGUAUAAGAAAGGGAAGAGGAACAUUUUUUUAAAUUUCACAUAAGGUCUUACAUAGUGGAUGUCUCGGUUGUGGAAGUUUUUUUUGGGUGCUUAAGAAGAAUACAGUAGCCUAUGGGCCUUAGGGCGGUGUAGUUUUAUGUUAGGAUGACUUGUAGUGAGAUUUGGGUAAGGAUCGUGGAGUUCUGACAAGGAGAGAUGUCACUUGAGGGUAAUUCAGAAGUAACUCAGAGAAAAUAGGACAACUGGGUAGUAGGUUGGAACAGUACGGUAAUUGUAGGAUCAGUUCUUUGAGUAAUUACGAUUUGGUAAAACUUUACAGAUGUUUUGGUGGAAAUAUUCUUAGGUUUGGUGACCUGUGUGGCUAGGUCGAGUUAGAGGAAUUCAGUUCUAAUAGCUUGGUUAUGUGCAAAUGGAUUUCAAAGUGUUCUUGAUAGUUUCCACCAUAGUUUGAGAUGGAUAUUUUCUACCGGCGUGAGGUACCAUGUUGAGUAUUGUGAUUUUCUACCGGAUGGGAUCAAAUGGAAGGCUUCUGGCUGAUCGGAUAUGUAUUCUACUUGUGACUCAGAAUGAUUAUGAGGUUCUCGUAUUUUUCACAUGAUGGCAUGAUAUAUGUGGUGUGUUGUGCGGGAUUAAGAUUUACAUGUACAAGAUGACAGUUCAGUCUUGAAGGGAAGGUCGCGAUUUUUGGGCAGAAUGGUAAGUUUAAGUUAUUUAGGCGAAUAUUAUAAUUGCUCGGUAAUUUCGGAGAAGGGUGCGCAUUUCAUAAGGGGCAUUAUAUUUUGACUUACGGAUGUUCAUCGGUAUUGCAGUACUCACAUGGUUGAUAGACUGCUGAUAUUCAAAUUAUUGCUAUGUGGCAUGGAAGAAUUAUGUAAGUAUUCCUCGUGGGAUGAUCGUGCAUGAAAGAUGUGUUAGUCAUUCGAAUGCUAGAAUUGGGAUCAAUUAUGAUGAUCUAUGUGUCCUACAAAUUUGGAAACUAGGAGUUCUCAGAAGCAUAUUGUUUCAGGGUUGCGACCUGUUUGAGGUGAGUAUUUUAUUUAAACUCAGUGGAGGCACUAGUUGCAUAAUUAUUUGCGAUAGCUGUGCGAGAUGAGUGUGCAUAUAGGUGAGGUUUGAUCCCAUGUGCGGGCAUCGGGGCAAGUAUUCAUACUCGGAAGAAUGCUUAGGCUAUGAUAUUCCUAGAGUUGACUGUUAAGCAUAAAGUUAUAACGUUUCUCAUAUUUGUACCUUUAUGGAGAACUAUCUGGGCUAUACUUGAGGUUAUAAAGAGGCUAAUUCCCUGAGAAAAACUUGGUAGUUAUUAUUUAUGCGUUAACUUGCCGAUUUGUGCUAUAAUAGAAGACUUUGCACAUGCCUACACUAUGGCAUUUUAUUUAUACCAGUCGAGGAGCAUGAGAAUCUUAUUUUAUUAUCAUAUACAUGUGUGCUUGUUUAAUUGCUCCUGUAUGAUAUGCUAGGACUUGAGGCAUGUGACCAUACCGUGAGGUUGAUGUGAAUGUGAGCUCUAGAAAAGUAGGUUACCGUUGUUAGAUUUGUGUGUCUUGGUUAUACUAUAUAUGAUGAGCUUAUAGCAUUGCAGUUGUGGCGGUGCUUGUUGAACUUGCAAUAUAGUUCUCUUCUUUGAGACAUUUUCCAUUUUUGGUUACCGGGAUUGUGCAGUGAUGGUUUGAGUUAUAUUGGUGUGGCAUGUAUGUGGGAUAGUUGUGUUUAAUAAUAUAUGGUCAUUGGACCUAGGAUAGGUACUAUCAGGUUUGAAAUGGUAUAUUUUGGGAGGAUGGCAUUGAAAUUCAGUGUUGAAAGUGAUUAUGGUUCUGGUUGGGGCGAGAGAGCUCCAUUACUUGUUGAUCUAAUAAGGGGUUAUGAUAUUCUACAUGUUUCUUUAAUUAUCAGCAGUGUACGAAGGUUUUGGACCGAGGUUUGGCUUGAUAUGGGGUUUAAUACCAGUACCAGGUUAGUUUGGAGUAGUUACUGUGAUCGGGAAUGGUGCUGCGAGCAUGCGAGUUGUGUAAUAUGUUAUGUGAUAAUAUCUGGGGUUAUGGUUAUGGCUUGAUACCGCUUGUUCAGACUCAUACAAUAUAUAGAGGUAAGAUUCGUGUCAAAUUUUUAUUUGAAUGUUAGAAAUUGAAUUCCAAGGUUUAUGGGCUAAGGUUAAAUUAAUAACUUCCAAUUAUGUUGUAUUGUCAGCCCUAUAUGUAAUAGGGUGGGGUGGGAUCACCCCCCGGGUACGUGCGUGGUAAGAUGGAAUAGUGAUUUGAUGGCUUGGAAACAACUCUUGGCACGUUCGAGAAUGAACGUAUGGUUAAGUGGGGGAGAAUGUAACGACACGGCCGGUCGUUUUGAGUAUUACAGCCCCGUUCCCCCAUUUACUACUCUAUUUAUGCCUUAUAGCUGUAUUAUGACCUAUCGGAUUAGUUAGUUCGGGUCCGGAGAGAUUUCGGAAUGAAAUGAGAUACUUAGUCUCAUAAUUGAAAAUUUAAGUUAGAAAUAUUUACCGGAUGUGGACUUAUGUGUAAGCGGCCUCGGAUUUGAAUUUAGAUGAUUCCAAUAGCUCCGUAUGGUGAUUUUGGACUUAGGAGCGUAUUUGAAAAAGUUUUUUGGAGAUCCGUAGUGGAAUUAGGCUUAAAAUGGCGAAAGUUGAAUUUUUGAGAAGUUUUAUGGGGGUUGACUUUUUGAUAUCGAGGUCGGAAUCCGAUUAUGGAAAUUUGAAUAGGUCCGUUAUGUCAUUUAUGACUUGUGUGCAAACUUUGAGGUCAAUCGGACUUGAUUCGAUAGGUUUCGGCAUCGAAUGUAGAAGAUGGAAUUUCGUAGUUUCAUUAAGCUUGAAUUGGGGCAUGAUUCGUGGUUUUAGCAUUGUUUGAUGUGAUUCGAGGCUUCGACUAAGUUCGUAUGAUGUUUUAGGACUUGUUGGUAUAUUUGGUUGAGGUCUCGAUGGGUUCGGGUGAGUUUCGGGGUGGUUUCGGACCAUUUCUAGGCCAUUUUUAAUUGCUGAUUUUUGUCUACAGAGGUGUGCAUCGUGAUCGCGAACAUUUGGUCGCGUUUGCGAAGAGAAAACAACAGUUUGGGGACUUUUGCAUCGCGAUCGUGGAAGAUCUUUCGCAAUCGCAUAGAAUAAAAUCUCUGCUGCACUGACCCGACUUUGGAAGUUUAUAUCUCGCAAUCUAUAAGAAAUUUAGAGAUAAUUCAAAAAUAAAAGUUGUAACCCUUGAUAUCUAGUUUUCAGAAAGCUAAACUAUUUGUUAUUUGGAGUUUCGUACAAAAGGUUAUAACUGUUAUACUAGAGCCUGUGUGGAAGAGUUGGGGAGUUUGUUCUUCGCGAUCGCCAUUAGUUUUCCGCGAUCGCAAAGGGCAAUUUUGGGGCUAAAAAAUUUUGUGCUUCGCGUUUUUCGCGAUCGCAAAGAGUAAAUAUCUGGGCAAAAGCUAUAUUUCAAGGUUUCAGCCAUUUUAACAUAUUUGGAGCUAUGGAGCUCGGAUUAAAGCGAUUUUGAGGCGAUUUUCACCAUAUGGAUUGGGGUAAGUGAUUCUAACUCGAUUUUGGUUAAAUUACACGAAUCUAUUAUUGUUUUUAUCAAUAAAUUAGUGUUUUGGGUUGAAAAUUGUAGAAAUAUUCAUAGAUUUAUAUUCAGGAUUUGAAGGCCAAUUUAUGGUCGAAUUUGAGUAAUUUUGGUAUGGUUGGACUCGUGGUUGAAUGGGGGUUCGGAUUUUGUGAGUUUUAUCGGAUUCCGAGACGUGGGCCCCACUGGCGAUUUUUGAGUGUAAUUUCGGAUUUUGUGGGAAAAUUAGUAUUUUCAUAUGGAAUUAAUUCCUAUAAUUUGUGUUGACUGAAUCGAAUUAAAUGUGUCUAUAUUCGAGCAGUUCGGAAGUUGAUACGUGCAGAAUAGAACUUCUGGAGCAUUGUUUAGCUUGCUCAAUAUUAGACUCAGCUUGUUCGAGGUAAGUAACUCUUCUAAUCUUGGAGCUGAGGGUAUGAACCCUGAUUAUACUUGUUAUGUGUUUGGUGUUGAGGUGACACACAUGCUAGGUGACGGGCGUGUAGGCGUGCACCGUGUGAGCUGUGACUCCGAUAUUUCUAUGGUAUUGUAUAGUUACCUGAACUUGUCUAAAAUCAUGAAAUCUCUACGUACUAGAGUUAUCAAAAUGUGAUUCAUGCUAUAAACUAUAUUUAGGCUACAUGCUUGUCCUGUUGGGACCCACCGAGGUCAUUUCUGCUGUUGAGUUAUCUGCUUUCAUUGCAUUACAUACUCAGUCAUACGCAUUCAUAUGUAUAUCAAAUCUCAGUCUCUGUUGUGAUUUAUUGAUACAUCAUAUUAUCAUUUUCGGGCUAAUUGUAUGACAUUGUGAGCCCGUGAGAGAGAGAGACUGGAGAGAUUGAUUACUGAGUGAGGCCGAGGGCCUGAUUGAUUCUGAUAUUGAAACUAUGGCACGUACUUUGUCCGUGCAGAUUAUAGCACUUGGGCUAAAGGAGCCCCUCUGGAGUCUGCACAUACCCCAAGUGAGCGCGAUUUAUUUAUAUUGAGGGAUGGAUCUUCCCUGGACAUGGAUCUUGUCCGAAGCAUUUAUAUUGAGGGAUGGAUCUUUCCUGGACAUGGAUCUUGUCCGAAGCAUUUAUAUUGAGGGAUGGAUCUUCCCCGGACAUGGAUCUUGACCGAAUUAUUUAUAUUUGGGGAUGGAUCUUCCCCUAGGCGGGAUUGGCCUUGUAUAGUACUGAGUGGCUGGAUGUCAGUUAUUAUGUAUAUAUAUUGGGAUGGAUCUUCCCUGGCAUGGAUUAGCCAUAUAUAGUACUGAGUGAUUGAAUACUCUAAGAGUGCGAGUACAUGAGUUCAUCUCUGAGAUACAUAGCAUUGACAUGGACAGAUGACAUACAUGCAUAGAGAUGUAUUUUCCUCAUGCUAUAUGGUAUCACGUCAUUCAUGACUUCUCACACAUAUUGACAUAUGGGUAUAAUGAUGUAUUUUACACUGGUUAUCUUGAAAGAAAAUGAAACAUCUUAUUUAUUGUUGAAAGGAGUUUUGGGAGAAUUACUGUUUUCAAACUCACUCAUAUUUUUGGCAACUUCGGUAAACGACUUGGGUUUUCACUGAUACACUUGAAAGACAGAACUAUUUUUUGAAAUCGUGAUUAAGCUGAGCAUUUUAUCUUUGAGUUGCUUCUUUUAUUACUUGCUAUAUGUUGUUAUGAACUGUUGUUGGUUAUUGGCGUUAGACUCUGACCUUGGUGCAAGCUCGUCACUACUUUCAACCUAAGGUUAGGUUUGUUACUUAUUGAGUACACGGGGUCGGUUGUACUCAUACUACACUUCUGCACCUUGCGUGCAAAUUUUGGAUGUCAAUGAUGAUGUACAUGACGGGAGCUGGAUCUUAAUAUGUUUCUGUGUUCCAGUCAUUGUUGCCUCUUAUUCAUGGUAGCUUUAGAAUUUUAAUCUGUUCAUGUAUAUUUCAAACAGAUGAUGUAUUCUUAUUUCACACCAGCUUUGUAAAUUCUAAUCUUAGAAACUCAUGAUUUGUACUACUAGUCCUUGGGGAGUGUAUUAGAGUUCGUUAUAUAUUAAUGGAAUUUGAUAGUUGUUAAUUGGCUUACCUGACGGGUUGGGUUAGGUGCCAUCACGACUAGGUGGAUUUUGGGUCGUAACAGUUCGCGAGAGGAUAGGCACGCUCGCAAUGAGGAUGUGGCCGGCUGGAGUGUAGGCCUUCAUGUUCGUGAUAGGUUGCUCGCAUUCGCGGAAGGCUGGUAAGUUAGUGAUCAUGUUCCCAAUGAAGUAAUUCUAGACGAAGGUUGUUUGUGCUUCAUGAUCGCGAUGUCUUGGCAGCAAUCGCGAUGAGUACUGCUGGACAGAGUACUUACUUAAGUUGCCAAUUUUGGGACUUUAUCUAUUAUUUAAUAUUUUGAGCCCUAGACUUUGAGAUGAGGAAAGUUUGAAGAGCAAAUUCGAUACCACAUUGGAAGUAAGAAAUUCUUACUUGGAUUUGGCUUUAUAUCUUGAUUGCCUAUGGAUUUCACACCUAAAACUAGGAAAUUUGAAAGGAAAUUUGGGGUUUUUGCCUACACUUUAAGAGAGUAUAUUUUGGGGAUUUGAGUACCGAUUGGGACUCGAUUUUGGAAAUUAAUUAUAUAUUUGGACUCGGUAGGUUAUGGGCUAUCGGAUUUUGGUAUUGGUUUCGGAAAUAGGAACGCAGGACUUUUUGGAAUUUCUUCAAAGAUCUAAGCUUUAUGGAUUGGGAUGAUGCUUGGAUGAUGCUUGACUUGGAUUCUCUCAGUUGGAGAGCUAGAUCGAGGUUUUUACAUGAUUCACGGUUGAAGAAUAGCCUGGAUGAGGUAAGUAACUUGUCUAAACUUGGAUUUGAGGAUGUUAUUCCUGCCUUGAUCUGUUUCAUAUGUUACUUUCUUAUGCUAUGGUGGGUUGUGAGAGGACUCGGUUAUUCAUCCGUAUGUUGUGGUUUUUGUUUAGGACUUGUGGUGAUGAUGAGCGAGAUGGAUCUUAAGUUAUUUACUUGCUUAUUGUACCAUAGUAGUGCUUGCCCUUUUAUAGCGCAAUAUGCUAUUCGUCUUCCCAUGGUUAUAUUUAUGAAAUAUACGUGCUUGUUGUGGUCACACAGUAUUUAGUGAGUAUGAGCAUUUUGGCUCGGUAGGUAUUCCGAUAUAGAUUAGAAUAUGUGGAUGGGGUUGCAUGCCAUAACGGUAUUAUAUGUGGAUCGGGUCGCAUGCCGCAACGAGAUGUUAAUCGGGUGUGACCCCUCGGGUUCGUUUCAUGUAUUUUAUUUCUCCCUUAUGAGAUGGAUUCAUAGCAUUAUGCUCUUAUGGUUAUAUCUGUUUAGCUUGUGGAUUGUUCCCUUUAUGGUUCUCUUUUCAUUAUUGAUCAUAUUUGAGCGAUUGUUUGUUGGUGCACGGAUCGCGUCAUAUAAGGUUCUUGAUAGUAUUUGAUGUGGCAUGUCAGUUGAGCAGCUUGUACUAGGUGAGACAAGUUUUGGACAAUUGUUCCCUUUAUGGUUCUCUUUCCAUUAUUGAUCGUAUUUGAGCGGUUGUUUGUUGGUGCACAAGUGUCAUAUGAGGUUCUUGAUAAUAUUUGAUGUGGCCUAUCGCUCGAGCAGCUUGUACUGGGUGAGACGAGUUUUUGGACCUGGAAACAGUACUAUCAAAUUUGUAUAAGGUAUGUUUGGAAGAAGAAUGUCACUAGUCAGUUCAAAAUUUACCAAUGGUUAUCAUCGGGCGAGAGAACUCCAUGACUUAUUGAUUCGACAAAUGGUUAUGAGUUUCUACACGUGUCUAGUACCAUUAGCAGUGUUGCAAUGUUUGGAACAAGGUUUUAUUUGUCAUAAGGUAUCUUACCGGUACUGGGUUUCGUUAUGAGCAAUUAUUAUGGUUGAAAGACAUUACUCUGGGAAUGUGAGUUAUGCGUACGUCGUGUGGUUAUGAGCAGUUAUUUGGAUGUUCCUAGAAGGUUUUUGCUCUAUUUGUUGAAAGUUGGCAAUUUGAAGAAUUUGGAGAGUUCACAAGGUUGACUUUAAGGCCUUCGGGGUCAGAUUGUAGUUUCGAGAAUUAGAAUAGGUCUGUUUUGUUAUUUGGGACCAGUGUGCAAUGUUUGGGUUCAUUAUAGAUUGGUCAGAUGUGUAUUAGACGCUUGGUUCGAAGUUGGAAGUUUAUGAACUUAAGAGAUUGAUUUUGUUCGAUGACUCGUGGUUUUGAUGUUAAUUGUGGUGUUUUGAGCCUUCAGAUAAGUUUGUAUUAUCUAUAUGGACUUGUUGGCAUGUUUGGACGGGGUCCCGAGGGGCUCGGGGUUAGGUUUGGGGUAGCUUCAGAUUAUUUUUAGCUACUUUGUGAUUGCUGAUGUGUUGAUGUUAUGUUAGUCUUCACAUUCACGGUCAAAGGAUCGCGUUUGCAUAGAGUAAUUUUGGCCACUAGGUUUCUUUGCUUCAUUUUCGCGAGAGGAUGGGAGCGUUUGUGAUGAGGAUGUGCCCAUCUAGGGUGUAGGCCUUCGUGUUCGUGAUAGGUUGCUCGCGUUCGCGGAAGGCUGGUAAGUUGGCGAUUGCGUUCGCGAUGGUCACCUGCGUUUGUGAUGAAGUAGUCUUGGAGGAAGGUUGUUUGUGCUUCGCGAUCGCGAUGAGUAUUGUUGGGCAGAGUACUUAAGUUGCCAAUUUCGGAACUUUGUCUAUUAUUUCAUAUUUUGAGCCCUAAACUUCGAGAAGAGGAGAUUUUGAAGAGCAAUUUCUCUACUACAUUAGAGGUAAGCAAUUUUCACGUGAAUUUGGCUUUAUAUCUUGAUUACCGAUGGAUUUCUACACCUAACUUGGACUUUUGAAAGGAAAUUUGGGAUUUUUGCCUACACUUUAAGAGAGUAUAUUUUGGGAAUUUGAGUACCAAUUUGGACUCGAUUUUGGAAAUUAUCUAUAUAUUUGGACUCGGCAGGUUAUGAGUUAUCGAAUUUUGGUAUUGGUUUCGGAUUUUGGGCACACGAGCUCGAAUUGACUUUUGGGAAUUUUUUCAAAUAUCAAAACCUUAUGGAUUGGAAUCACUUCCUAUGGCAUUGUUGAUUUCCUUGGGUGAUGUUUGGCUUGGAUUUGUGCGAUUGGAGAGCUAGAUCGAGGUUAUUACAUGAUUCAAGAUUGAAGACUAGCCUGAAUGAUGUAGGUAACUUGUCUAAACUUUGAUUUGAGAGUAGUUUCCUAUUUGCUAUGGUAUUUGUUAUGUGACGGAGGUGACGUAUAUGCGAGGUGACGAGCGUAUAUAUGUGCACCGUGAUUUCUCAUAAUUCGGGUAGUUCUUAGGCUAUCAUGGGCCUUGUUUUGCUAUCAUGCUUCUUUUAUAUCAUGUUUUCUCCAUUUGUAUGACUACGUGAGUUAUUAUUCAUGUUAGAAAUCAUGUUCUAAGCUAGCUGCUUAAUUGUUUGAGAUAUGAUAAGGUUAUUUUUGCUAUGUUGAGUUAUUUGCCUUGGCUGUAGUCAAACAAUUCAGUCAUGACAAUUAUAUACAUAUAUUAUAUCUCUGUGUAUGUGCACUUUUGAUAUGUUAUCUCACAUGUUAUUGGUGUCCUUGUACAUGACACAAGUUUGAGCUGAAUCUGUGGUACAUUUGUGAUAUUCCGUGUGGUAUAUUAAAUUAUGUUUCUGUAAGAUGUUGGCAUAUGGAGACUUGACUAGAUUGAUGAUUGAUCUUGGGCCAUAAAGCCGUGUUGGUAUAGAGAUUGAGGUGACGUGUACGCCAGGCCCCAUAAUGCUCUAAGUGGUACUGUUUAGGGGGCGACGCGUGCACCAAGCCUAAUGUUGGGCUAUAUGAUAUUGAUCGUUGACUUAGAUCCGAUUAGAGCUUAGGCAAGGACCCGCCUAUUCAGAGUCAGGUAUUUGCUAUGAGCAGACACAUGGUCAUAUAUGUGCUUGAGUGAGGGACUUAUGUUAGGCACACGUAUAGUGAUGAGCGUGUGUAUAUGUAUGUGUAAGGGUCCAUGGGCUUUGAGUCAGGCACCGUGAGCGUGCAUAGUGAAGUUUAGGGGCAUUGCUAGGCACUAUGAAUGUGCUGAGAGUUGUUUAUAAUUAAUGAUUUAACUGUAAUAAUUAUUGAUCUGGCAUGUAUGACUGACAUGAAGACAUGGAGCUGUAUUAACCCUCACGUUAGUGGGUAUUUGGUAACUGUAUGUGAGGAUUUGAGUUCGAUAUCACAGUUUUAUCCUGUUAAAUACCUGCUUAAGUGAAUUCUAUGGAAGUUGGUGCCUUGUUUGUUAUAUCUGAAAGGCAUGCCUUUUUUUUCCUCUUAUUGUGUUUAGCUGAGCUUAUUAUCAUUUGAGUUGUUCUCUUUCAUAUACUAUUAUUCUUCUGUUAUUGUUAUUGUUGGCUGUGAAAAGUGAGCAUCAGACCUUGCCUAGUUCGUCACUGGUUUCAAUCCAAGUUUGGCUUGUUACUUAUUGAGUACAUGAGUUCGGUUGUACUCAUACUACACUCUGUACUAAGUGCAGAUACAAGUGUUGUUGAUCGUGGUUGUUGUCCGUGAGAUAGAUCCGGAUUAGUCUGAAUUCUCGAGGUAGCACUGUUGUUCCUUCGCAGGCCUUGAAGUCCCUUACUUAUCUUAUGUUAACACUCUUUAGUCUUUCAGACAUUAUUGUACUUGAUUUAGACCUUGUAUUUACUUAUUCUUUAGAGCUCAUGCACUCAGUGACACCAGGUCGUGGGAUGAUUUAUUUAUAUUGUGACUAUUUACCUCGGUUAAUUAUCAUUAUUUUCAUUGAGGAGACCAUUUAAUGUUGCUAUUUUAUUUUGUUUCUACUUAUUGAUUGAUGGCUUGUCUAGUAAGCGGUGUUAGGCGCCGUCAUGACUCGGUGAAAGUUUUGGGUCGUAACAGCAAUGAAACCCGUUGGUAAUAUACUACAUCCACCCUAACUAGAGGAAAUAAUUAAAAAAGAUAAAGCUCUCUUGCAUGUUGGAAUCAUGCUGCCUCUAACUUGCACAUGCAUCACAAUCUUCCUGCACACAAUCAAAACUACCUUGCUGGAAUUAAAGCAUGUUCCUUUCACGCCAAAUGAUGUAUACUAGCAUAGCAAAAAUAUAACCAGUGAUAGAGCUGCUGCCGACUUCCUAGAAAAAGAAUCACUUAAAUGCUUACCUAAUUCGCCCAAAAGAGGUACAUAAAGUGAUCUUUGCGUUAAUUUUGCUCAAAUCUUUCGCAUUUUGUAUGAUACUGUUUUCAUUUUUAAUUAGUUUGUGCAAAACAAUGACAAAUUUCUCUUUUUGAAACUAUGUCAUCGUAGUACUAUACUUUUUGAUAGUAGUACUACGAUUAUCCUUAAUAACCAUAUUUGUCGCUAAUUUUUGUUCCGUACUAAUUUUUUUUUAAUUCUUAAAUUUAGCGUUCAAUCAAACGCCUUCUAUAUAAAAUGGGACGGUGAGACUAUUAUAUUUUCCUAAGGCUAAACUUCAGUUUUCUUUGCUUUUCCCCGCCAAGGAAAACCAUUGACAUCUGAAUUAACAUAACCGCCUCUUGCAAGGCCAUUAAUGAGUGACACACCAUAGUUAUCGCUCCUUAUUUCAACUAAUGGACCCAAAUGCUCUGCACUAUCACUAUAUAAGGAACAAUAUAUGCUGUGAAUGAAAAUAAGCAAUAAAGUGAAACAAAUAAUGUGGCUUGUUUAGGAAUAAUCCUGAUUUUAGAAUUUUCUCACAAAGUUUUUUCAGGGUUGCUUUGAUAAGAUCACAUUGGUGAAAAGGAUUGACCUUGCACCAUUUAACUUCAACCAUCAAUCAUCCCAGGAAACAAACUACAACCACCUGACUCUAACUCUUUAAACAUUUCAAGAUUACCAAUAGAAAAAUGGACGCCUACAGAGCAAAAAUUAGUGUAUUUUUUCUCCUUGUGUUAUUCACAUUUGCUGCAUUAGCGACAGCAACAAACAUCCCAAGAAGGCAACUUGGUAACAAGAAAUACAAAGGCCCAUGCCGGGCCGAAAAUGCAAUCGACAAAUGCUGGCGAUGCGACCCAAAUUGGGCCGAGAAUCGCCAGAAAAUGGCCGAUUGCGCAUUGGGUUUUGGCAGCAAUGCGAUCGGAGGAAAGUUGGGCAGAAUCUACGUCGUCACAGACCCUUCUGACGACGAUGUUGUCGAUCCUAAGCCCGGAACUCUCCGAUAUGGUGUUAUCCAAAAGGAGCCAUUGUGGAUCAUAUUUGGCAAAAACAUGAAAAUUAAACUUAGUAGGGAACUUAUCGUGACUAGCAACAAAACAAUCGACGGCCGUGGAUUUAAUGUCCAUAUACAAAAUGGAGCUGGCAUUAAGAUACAAUGUGCAUCCAAUAUUAUUAUUUCUAAUCUCCGCAUUCACAAUAUUGUACCCACCCCAGGUGGCCUGCUCAGGGAGUCCGAGGACCACGUUGGCCUAAGGAGUGGCGAUGAAGGUAUCUCGUCUUAAGAUUUUAAGCUAUUAGAAAGAACAUAUUUUUUUAUUAUUGAAUUAUAUGACGUCUCGACAGGUGAUGGCAUCAGCAUCUUCGAUUCGCGUGAUAUAUGGAUCGACCACAUCUCUAUGUCUCGUGCAACCGAUGGUCUUAUCGAUGCUGUUGCUGCUUCCACUAACAUUACCAUAUCCAAUUGCCACUUCACUGACCACGAAAAGGUAAUGUUGUUCGGCGCCAACGAUAAUUACGUGCUUGACAAGGACAUGAAAAUUACAUUAGCGUACAACCACUUUGGAAAGAGGUUGGAUCAAAGGAUGCCUAGAUGCAGGUUUGGAUUUUUCCAUCUGGUGAACAAUGACUACACUCAUUGGGAAAGGUACACACUGUUGAAUUGUCUAGCCGUCUCAUUUAAAUGUGAUAGAAAACAUUAAAUUACUUAAUUAAUUAUAUUAUAUAUGCAUUGACAGGUACGCUAUUGGGGGAAGCAGUGGAGCCACCAUCAUUAGUCAGGGUAAUCGAUUUAUUGCUGAGGACGAAUUGUUGGUGAAAGAGGUAACAUAUAGGGAAAAACUUACGGCGAGUGUGGCGGAAUGGAUGAAAUGGACAUGGAUAUCAGAUGGUGAUGAUAUGGAAAAUGGUGCGACAUUUACACCAUCUGGUGACCAGAAUUUACUCGAUAAAAUUGACCAUCUCAAUCUCAUUAAACCAGAACCUUCUUCCAAAGUUGGAAUUCUUACUAAGUUUUCAGGUGCUCUGUCUUGCGUCAAAGGACGCCCAUGCUAAAACAUUUUUCCGAUUUAUUUUCGGUCAACCCCAAUUCACCACCAAAAAAAGAUAAAGAAAGAAACUAAUAUUGUUAUACAUGCAAAUGGCAGUAGUUGUUUUCUGGUUUACAUUUCUUCUUUCUUUUGGUAUUGGGGUGACCUAGAGGAUUAUUAUGUUACAUUUAAUUCAUAAGAUAAAGCUAUAUAUCAUCUCUUUUGUUAUUAUUGACGGAAAAAAUUAAAUGUUUACAUCAAAUCAAUAAAUACAUGACAUGUGUCUUCUAUCUAUAAUUUAUACGAAAUUAAAACAUGUUAAAAAUAAGCGGUGGAUAAAAUACUCCACAUCGUAGAUUUAAAAUCUUAGAUUCACAUUUGGCAAUUAUAUGCGAUUUACAUUAAUAAACAAGCGUUUUAAGUCAUCGGACGACAUAAGAAAAGGCUUCGUAGAAAAGGAAGAACAUAAAUAAGAAUUAAAGGACUAAGGUCGUAUAUUUCUGUUGGUAACAAGUCCUCUUCAUUAAAGACUUCAGAUGGAUACUUUUCCAUGUAAAAAUUUUAGAAUUAGUAAUUGUAACAUAGAAUUAAAUGGAUAAUGCAAGGAAAGCAAACUAAGGUUUUAAGAGCUGCGAGUGAGAAUGCCAUCUAUUUAAAAUAAAAGCUAAACGGAGAAACAAAUUUAUUCAUAUGGUAUUCUAAACUCACUAGCCCGAUUAAUUUGGUUUGACAGUAGAUAGGCGAAAGUAAAGUACUAUCUAUCGAAAUGUUUUGGGCUUAAUUAUUUGUACUACUAGCUAAGGUCAUGAAAAUAACAGAGGCAUAUUGUAAAACUGUUAUUUGGUCUAGAGUAAACACAAUCACCAAGAGAAUUUCUUCUCAAGCAUGUUGGAUGGUGCGGAAUAGGACCAGAGAUAUGCUUAGUCACAUAAAGCAGGGCAAAUACAAGAAGAAGUUUGAUCAGACAUAUUCUAUACGGUCAAAAUCGGGUUCGCCUCUUGUGCGACUAAUCGAGACUGAAAAGUGAAAGUUUAAAGUUCAACCUCGAAUUAUAUCAAACCGAGGUGCGAAGCUAUAUAGUUAAACUCGAGACCAUGUCAUCGAACAAAAUCGUGAUCAGACGAGAUCGAGGGAAAAUUACCAAGCCGAAUAACAGAAGGAUGAAAUAUCCGCAAUCAGUUGUAGAUCAUGGCGGAAAUCUCGGCACAUAUCAAGGAUAUGCUGAUUGAUUAGCAAAUCAUGAGAUUUCUUACCUUGUAUAGAAUUGUAUCAAGAGUAGGAGUCCUCUACUAUAUAAAGGGGGUCUGAUCAUUUGUAAAGGGACACAUUAUGCAACAUAAAGCAAUAUAAUGUCAUUUUCUAGCUUUUAUCAUCAUGUUAUUCUGUUCAUACAUCAGUUGAGACAUCUCUCGGAUCAAGGGUGUUCGAUUUGAUAAACAGUUUGGCAUAAGGUUGCUCGAUUCAUGUGGUUUGUAUUAAUUCUUUUGUCGUCAAUUUCAAUUUUAAUCUGUUUCCAUAAUUUGUAUCAAGUUAUAUCAUGUAUCCUUAAAACCACGUAUAAAUUCAAUUGUUAUUCGAUUUUUAGGGUAAUCAGUUUGGUGCCGACCGUGGGGCUAAGGAUAAUAGUGAUUACCUCGUACAAACUUUCAUAACACACACUAUUUUACACUUGUUCUUUGGAGUAUCUUUGCUUCCAGGACCAAAAUGUCGAACUCUCAGUCAACACCCCUACACGUGGACAAUGAUUUCGGUCACCACGAGAAAAAUGAUAACAUAGCACCAGGGAACAACGUACCUCCAGUUGUCCUCGAUGGAGUUCCGGCUGUAGAUCCAAUUGACGUCAGCUCGCAUGUAGCCAUCAAUGCAAAUUUGGCCGUCGAUCCCGAGAGCAGCAUCCGUAGAGACAUUUGAUCAGCCGCUCAAAGCACACAUGGCGGCGAAGAGGGAGGGAUCAGCCUGCGGGUGAUCUUCAAAAUGUUGUAGGCUCAACAAGUAGCGAUAGCCCAGCUCCAAAACCAGAAUCACCCACCGAGCAGUAUCGAGCCCGAGCCGUCCCAGGAAGUUGUCCAUAGGGUCGAAUCGGUUUCAAGGAAAUCGAAUGAGAAGGAAUCGUGGGACGAUCCUGCAAUCAUGAAGAUACUCAAAGAAAUGACAAAACGAGUUGAGUCGGGGGAAAAGAAGAUCGAGGAAAAUGACAAGAAGGUGGAAACUUAUAACUCCAUGGUCUAUCAAAUCCCGGUGGCACCACCAAUAUUGAAGGGCCUGGAUUCCAAAAAGUUUAUGCUAAAACCAUUCCUACCGAGCGCGGCUCCCACACCGAUUCCCAAGAAGUUUUGCAUGCCCGAGAUUCCUAAAUAUAAUGGAACAACUGACCCAAACGAGCAUAUCACCUCUUACACAUGUGCUAUCAAAGGGAAUGAUCUAGAGGAUGACGAGAUCGAGUCUGUCUUGCUAAAGAAAUUUGGGGAAACUCUGUCAAAGAGAGCUAUGAUAUGGUACCACAAUUUACCACCUAACUCUAUUGAUUUAUUUACUAUGGUUGCUGAUUCAUUUGUAAAGGCACAUGCUGGGGCCAUCAAGGUCGAAACCAGGAAGUCUGACCUUUUCAAGGUAAGGCAGAAGGACAACGAAAUGCUCAAAGAAUUUGUGUCUCUAUUCCAAAUGGAACGAAUGGAUUUGUUACUGGUCGCCGAUGAUUGGGUUGUUCAAGCUUUCACCCAAGGACUCAAUGUUCGAAGUUUAGUGGCUUCGCAGCAGUUGAAGCAGAAUUUGAUAGAAUACCCGACUGUUACUUGGGCCAAGGUUCACAAUCGGUAUCAAUCAAAGAUCAGGGUCGAAGACGACCAGCUUGGAUUUCCUUUCGGGUCCGUUUAUCCUAUCAGGACCGUUCAUAGAUUCAAGAGGGACAUUGACCGAGAACCAAAGUUGAACAUGGAUCGGUAUCAGCCGUAUAAUGGAGAUCAUAGGAGCAGCGGAUCUGGGUGAAAUCCUAUACGAAAUGAAAGGAUGAGUGAUCGAGGCUAGAGCUCUUGAGGGCUUAUGAGUAAGAACGGCUUCGACAGGCCUAUCAGACCUAUAGAGGCACCACGAUUAACAGAAUAUAACUUUAAUGUUGACGCAACUGGCAUUGUAUUGGCUAUCAGAUGCAUCAAAGAUACCAAAUGGCCUCGACCUUUACAAAACGAUCCAGCCCAGAUAAAUCCCAAUCAAAUGUGAAAAUAUCAAGGCACCCAUGGCCAUAGAACGGAAGAUUGUCGACAGUUGAGAGAAGAAGUAGCUAGGUAACUCAAUGACGAGCACCUUCAGGUCAAAAAUAGGGAUUCCAAUAAACAAAACGAGCAAGAAGAACCUCAACACAUCAUUCAUAUGAUUAUUGGAGGGGUCGAUGUCCCCCAAAGUCUGAUGUUAAAACGCACCAAGGUGUCAAUCACGAGAGAGAAACAAACUCGGGACUACAUGCUAGAAGGAACCUUAUCUUUCAAUGACGAGGAUGCAAAAGGAAUCAUACAGCCCCAUAAUGAUGCACUGGUAAUAUCCGUACUGAUGAAUAAAACUCGAGUUAAGCAUGUGUUAAUUGAUCCAGGUAGUUCGGCCAACAUCAUUCGAUUAAGGGUCGUUAAACAACUCGGCCUACAGGACGAAAUUGUGCCCGCGAAUCGAGUGCUAAAUAGAUUCAACAUGGCUUGUGAAACUACUAAGGGAGAAAUAACAUUACCAGUGAACGCAGUCGGGACCAUCCAGGAGACCAAGUUUUAUGUGAUCGAAAGGGACAUGAGAUAUAACGCCCUGUUUGGGAGACCGUGGAUCCACAACAAGAGGCAUGUGCCCUCGACCCUUCACCAAGUGCUAAAAUUCCUAGCACCAGAAGGGAUUAAAACAAUCUACGGGGAGCAGACCGCCACGAAGGAAAUGUUUUCCAUCGAUGAAGUAAUUCCAAUAUCGACACUCUCAUCGACAAAGGAGUCAGAUUCGAAAGUAAAACAGGAAGCCAAAUAGCAAUCACAGACGAUGGCCUCGACCCAACUAUAUAAGCAAGGGACUGACGAAGACGAUGAUUAUGGGGUACCUUGAUCCUUCAUAGUCCUCGAAGAUUCCGACGCUACCAAAUCAACGGUCAAAGAGCUCUAGCAGGUCAUACUGAUCGAACAGCUACCGGAUCGAAAGGUAUACCUGGGCACGAGGUUAACUCCUGAGCUCAGGAAAAAACUCAUUCAAUUUCUUAUAGCUAACAUGGAUUGUUUUCCUUGGUCCCAUCUCAACAUGAUAGGAAUCCCACCAUAGAUUACCACUCAUAAACUGAGCUUGGGCCCGAAAUUCCAUCCGGUGAAGCAGAAAAGGAGACCCCAGUCCGAGAUCAAGCAUGCCUACAUCAAAGACGAGGUAACUAAAUUCCUUAAAAUAUGGUCCAUCCGGGAAGUCAAAUACCCCUAAUGGCUAGCAAACAUAGUAGUAGUCCCUAAGAAAGGGAGCAAACUAAGAAGGUGUGUGGAUUACAAAGAUUUAAAUAAGGCAUGUCCCAACGACUUUUUUCCUUUGCCUAACAUCGAUCGCAUGAUCGAUGUCACGGCCGACCAUGAGAUCCUCAGUUUUCUCGAUGCCUAUUCCGAGUAAAACCAAAUACAAAUGAACCGGGAUGAUCAAGAAAAGACAUCCUUCAUCACAAUGUAUGGCACAUACUCCUAUAACGUAAUGCCAUUUGGAUUAAAAAAAUGCUGGUGCCACUUACCAACUCCUAGUAAACCAGAUGUUCGAAGAACAAAUAGGAAAAUCUAUGAAAGUUUACAUUGAUGACAUGUUAGUUAGGUCCCUGCGAGAGGAGGACCAUUUGAAGCAUUUGCAGAAAACCUUCAGUAUAUUGAGGAAGUACAAUAUGAAAUUGAAUCUAAAAAAAUGUACAUUCGGAGUCAAGUCAGGUACAUUUCUCGGAUUCAUGGUAUCCAACCGAGGAAUCGAGAUCAGCCCCGACAAGAUUAAAGUUGUCGAGUAUAUCACGGUAGUGGACAACGUGAAGGCUGUGCAGAGGCUAACCGGGCACAUAGCCGCCCUAGGGCGAUUCAUCUCAAGGUCCUUCGAUAAGAGUCAUCGAUUUUUCUCAUUGAUGAGGAAAAAGAAUAACUUCACAUGGACUCUGGAAUGCCAACAGGCUCGGGAAGAACUUAAGCAAUACUUGUCGAGCCAGCCACUGCUUCACACAUUGAGGAAAAUUAAACAACUGUACUUAUAUUUGGCAGUAUCGGAGAUAGCGGUACGUGGAGUCCUAGUUCGGGAAGAACAAGGUUCCAAUUUUCAAUUUAUUAUGUUAGCCGGACCUUGGGUGAGGCCGAAACAAGAUAUUCCCAUUUAGAAAAAUUAGCGUUCGCUUUGUUAAGUCCCUCUAGGAAACUGAAAUCAUACUUUCAAUGCCACCCUAUAUGUGUUAUGGCAAUUUACCCAUUUCGAAAUAUAAUGCAUAAACCCGAACUCUCGGGACGAUUGGCCAAAUGGGUCGUUGAAAUCAGUAGGUACGAUAUCGAAUAUUGAUCCCGAACAACUUUUAAGUCUCAAAUCUUGGCCGAUUUUGUGGCCGACUUAAUGCACGGACCUAAUACCCGAGGCCGAAAGAGAGUUGUUGGUAAACUCGGGAACGUCCUCAGGAAUCAGGACCCUCUUUACGGACGGUGCAUCGAAUGCAAAGGGGUCCGAACUUGGUAUCGUACUGAAGCCACCCACGGGUAACGUGGUUAGACAAUCUAUUAGAACUGUGAAGCUGACUAACAACGAGGCUGAAUAUGAGGCAAUGAUUACAGGUCUCGAGCUAGCCAAAAGCUUGGGGGCGAAGGUGAUCAAAGCUAAGUGCGACUCCUUCCUUGUUAUGAAUCAGGUUAACGGAACGUUCAAAGUCAAAGAAGAAUGAAUGCAAAGGUACCUAAAUAAGUUACAAGUGACAUUAUAUCGGUUUAAAGAAUGGACUUUGCAGCACGUGCCUCGAGAUCAAAAUAGCGAGGUUGAUGCCCUCGCAAACUUAGGGUCAUCGGUCGAGGAUGACGAGCUUAACUCAGGGACCGUUGUGCAACUCAUGAGGUCGGUAGUCGACGAAGGUCACGCCGAGAUAAAUUUCACAAGUUUAACUUGGGAUUGGAGAAAUAAAUACAUAAAAUACUUGAAGACCGGGAAAAUUCCCUUAUAUCCAAAAGAAUCGAGGUCCCUGCGCACAAAGUCAGCCCGAUUCAUCUUGUCCGAAAACGGAACCUUGUACAGAAGAAUGUUUGAUGGCCCACUAGCAAUAUUUAUGGGACUAGGAGAUACCGAGUAUUUUCUGAGGGAAGUUCAUGAGGGCACUUGCGGAAAUCAUUCACGCGUUGAAUCAUUGGUUCCAAAGGUAAUCAGAGCCGGAUAUUACUGGAUCGCCAUGGAAAAAGAUGCGAAGGAAUUUGUUCGAAAAUGUGACAAAUGCCAAAGAUAUGCUCCAAUGAUUCACCGGUCGGGGAACUGAUGCAUUCAGUAUUGUCACCAUGGCCAUUCAUGAAGUGGGAAAUGGACAUCGUUGGCCCUCUUCCAUGGGCACCAGGUAAGGCUCAAUUUAUCUUAUAUAUGAUUGACUAUUUUUCUAAAUGGGUUGAAGCACAAAUAUACAAGAAGGUUAGGGAGAAGGAAGUCAUCGACUUCAUUUAGGACCACAUCAUAUGUCAGUUCGGGAUGCCAUCCAAAAUUGUGUGUGACAACGGGAAAUAGUUUAUCGGCAACAAAGUGACCAAGUUUCUCGAAGAUCAUAAGAUCAAAAGAAUCUAGCGGGAAUGGGCAAGCCGAAUCGACCAACAAAAUCAUAAUCCAAAACCUUAAGAAGAGGUUAACCGACGCCAAAGGGAAAUAGAAGGAGAUCCUACCCGAAGUCCUUUGGGCAUACCGCAUGACUAUGAAAUCCAGUACCGGGGCUACUCCAUUUUCCUUGGUUUAUGGCACCGAAGCCUUAAUACCGGUCAAAGUUGUGGGACCAAGUAUUAGAUACCAAUAUGCAACAAAGGAGUCAAAUGACGAGGCCAUGAGUACGAGCUUGAAACUAUUGGAUGAAAGGCGUGAGGUCGCCCUUGUUUGAUUGGCUGCCCAAAAAUAACGGAUCGAGAGGUAUUACAAUCGAAGGGCCAACCUUUGAUACUUUAAUGUCGGGGACUUGGUGCUAAUAAAAGUCACCAUAAACACCCGAUAUCCGAAAGAAGGGAAAUUGGGUCCGAACUGGGAAGGCCCGUACCAGAUUCUCGACGUCACCGGGAAAGGAUCCUAUAAGCUCGGAAUGAUGAACGGAGAACAACUACCGAGCAAUUGGAAUGUAUCCCACCUAAAAUAAUAUUACUGCUAAGGUACGACCCCAUUUUAUUUCCUUUUAUUUCGGACUAACACUUGUAGGUGAUUAAUAAGAAGCGACACAGAGUUUUUAGGUCUAAAAGCACUCGUUGCACUCUUUUUUUCCUUAGACCGAUUUUGUCCCAAAAGGGUUUUUCGACAAGGUUUUUAUCGAGGAAACAAUGGAUCGUGCUAACUUAGAAUCAAGUCUGAUCACGACUCGGUAUCAAAGGUUAAUUCAACAAUAUCUGAGGUCCCUCUACAAUCAACCUCGAAUACUUGGGGGGGGGGGGUGUAUUAUCCUCGGAUAUGCAUUAUCUUCGGAUAUCAACUUUAGAGAGGAAAUUACUUCGUAGAGGAAGGGUCUCGAUAGGUAGGAUUUAUUGUAAGGGCCAAACGGUCAAACGAACCGUGCACACAUUGAUUACUCGAACCCUAUCAUAAAAUAUGUACGCAUGUAUGACUGCUUUGCACAAGAAUAAAGAGAAGUACUUUCCUUGCAAUCAUCUUAUGUUUUAAAAAAAAUUCUCUUUGCAUCUCUUAAAGAGUUUCGUACUUCCAAUCUCUUGAAAAUAACGAGCCCAAGUGAAGUCUAUAGCCGAAAUACGAACGACCACUCCCUCACUCGGGGACCGCCGUCCGAAAAACUCGAACAGGCCCAAGUCACUAGGCCUCGGGGCAUAAGACCUACUAUGCAACUCCCCGGUUUUUAAAGGCCACGACCACCUUACUCGGGGACUAUUAUCUUGGGCAAGCCCGGAUAGCUCGGGAAAACAAGUCCAAUGGGCAGCUCCCGAACUAAAAGGCUACGACCAAAUUAACACAGCUCAGAGACGUCCAAAGCCUGUAACAAAAACUAGGCCUUCAAAAAAGAAACGUUUUCACAACCGGUUCUAAAGGCUAGCCUCGGCAAACUACAAUCUCGGCUACUUACUUAGGGAAAUGGUUUCGGUAACACCGAAGCCCCAAGACGCCUUAAAACAAAGUAAGGAAAAUACAAGGUUUGUUUGAACUUUUGAACACAACUUAAAUUACUUUAUGUUAAGGCAUUUCAGCCCUUAUGAAUACAAGUGAUAAAGUAAAUGACAAAUUUGAAAGCCAAAGGAGAAGAAAGACUUGUAUAUAUAUUCUUUUUUACAAAGGCUAGAAUGGCCCGAUAUAGAAAUGUAUAAUGGACAAAGCGACCUAAAAAGAUGCAAACAACAAAAAAUAAAAACAUCUAAUGGCCUAAGUGGCUUGGUCCUCAUCGGGGGAAGCGUCUUCAUCCUCGGGGUCUUCCCCACCUUCAGAUUCGGUCAAGCUCUCGGAGCCUUCCUCGGGAAAAGCCAGCUUCUGAGCCUUGGCUUCUUUUACCUUGGCAUUCUUGAUUUUCGCUAGUAUGUCAAAGCCCUGAGCAUGGACUCCCUCGAGGGCUUCCCUUCGAGCUUCCCACCUUGCAUGAUCCACCAUGCUCUUAGCCUGUGCCUGAAUAGCUUUGACAUCAACCUUGAAUUGGGCCACUUUAGCAUCGACCUUGGUACUGGCCACAGCCACCUCAGAUUUGGCCGCGUCGAACUCCGUGGCCAGGCUCUUUUGGCCAGAAACAGUCGAGUUAAGAUCAAAUUGGAGCUCCUCGAUCAUCUUGGCCUACACUGAGGUCAUCUCCUUUGUAGCCCGAAGCUGAGCAUCGGCCGACACCAGUUGUGCUUGGAGAACUUCCUUUUGCGAGGUUAUGAGGUCCAUAUUUUUCUUGAACUCCUCGGCCUCAGUUUGUAUCAUGUCUAUCUACGCCUGGAGCUGCCCGAUUUGUUCAAGCCUUUAUCGAACAUGCAAGAUUGGAUCGUUAGCCACUGAGUCCAACUCGUCGUCACUAUCUUCAAGUACUCAAUUUACCUGUUCGGCCCACUCAGUAUGCUCCUUCCGAGCCGCUUCUAAAUCGGUCUGAAGCUUCUCACUCAGAAGCUUAUAAGUAUCUCUAUUCUCGGUGAGCUCCCGAACCUCAGCCUCGUGCUGGGUUAACUCCUCCUAGAUUCAGAGGAAAGCCUCAUGGUGCAAUACCAAGGCAUACAAGCAUAAAGAAAGGUGUUAGGAUUAUUUACAACUUCAAAUUUAAAAUAAAUAAUGGAGUGACACACGAAGUUACCCGAUUCAAAGCGUGUUGGGCUUCAUUGAAUAGGCAAGGCACUUCCAUCCUAUCCAUCACGGCUUGGUCCUCUUCGGUCACCAAGCAACUGGGGCAGAAAAAACCCGGGCAUCCUCCGAGACAGAGAAAACUAUCGACCGCCUACGGUCAGGGUUAACACUUGGGGCCAGGAACUUAUCCACCAGCUUCGGGCUCGAUGAAGACCCACUGACACCCGAUGACGGUACCUUCCUUUGCACCGGUAAGUCACCAAGCCCGGUGACAUCUUCUGAGGCAGUGGACUCUAACCCGUCCAAGAAGUUGUGGAUAUCAGUCGCCCCCUGAGGCCCCUCAUAAGAAUGACCUUCUAGCAUACCGGCCUCGCGUAUCAUGGCGUCCGAGAUCUGAGGGGACCCGGUAAGGUCGAUCUCCCCAAGCUUGUCCAUCGGGGCACCUCCCUCUGCCCGAGAAGUGUCAGCCCCAGUCUCUCUCUCGAACUCCCGGGCCUGAGGCAAAGCAGCCGCACCCCGUUCCGAUUCGCAGGUACAUGCCAACGCCUUCUCAACAGCCUCCUCAGUUCGAGGCAAAAUGAUCCGCACCCAAGCCACUAUCUCGGAGUUAUCUUCUUCUUCUUCAAACUCAUCCCUCAGUCGGCGGAUCGAGUCCGAUGGGAGGGUGCUGGUACUUUCCCUAACUUUACACACCAGCCUCUUUUUUGGUUUUUUCUUCUCCCUGUCCAGAGGGCUCGGGGCCCUUUUCCUCUUCUUCUCUACACAUUGCCUCGGAGCAGGGGAUGCGAGAGGCACAUCCACACUCUCAGAUGGAGGCCUCAUAGCAACGUCCUUGGGGAGACCUACAAAUAAAUAGAGCCGAUAAGAAUUCAACAAUACAAGGAGAAAGUCAAAACCUUAUCUAACCAGAAAAGGAAACUUGCCAUGAUUAUGGGCCUCCCACCGACCCAUCAAUAAUUCCAUCCAAGCACGCUCGGAGAAUUGGCACAAGGUCCUUGACCCAUUCCUUGAGUUGGGGAACCACAUCCGGCAUCUGGGCCACAACUGCAACACCAAAAACACCCAUAAAAAGGAGAUAAGAGGAGAAACAAUAGAUUAAAUCUUCAAGGCAAAGUAAUACUUACGUUUCAUGUUCCAUUUCUCGGGAAAUGGCAUGUCCUCGGCAGGGAUCAAAUCUGAAGUCUUUAUUUGAACAAAACGGCCCAUACAACCUCGGUCCCGAGCCUCAUCUAUACUCGAGAAUGAGGCCCUACUAGCCCGGUGACCAAGCUUGACCAGCCCCCUCGAUAGAGUGGGGGACUGUAGAGAUACAUAAGGUGAUCAAGGGUGAAGGAACACCCUUCGAUUUUGUUUACGAAGAAUCGAAAGAGAUUAACUAUUCUCUAGAACGAAGGGUGAAUCUGGCCAAGAGUCACGCCGUACCUCUUGCAGAAAGCAAUAAUGAUCGGGUCUAAGAGACCCAACGUGAAGGGGUAAGUGUAAACACUUAAAAAACCCUCCACGUAGGUAAUGAUUGACUCCUCAUGCGAAGGCACCACCACAUGUUUAUUAGCCCAAUUGCAAUCUUCUUAAACCUUAGUGAGGAGAUCAUCGGUGAUUGUACAUAUGUACCUCGAGACCGGCUCGCAUCGACCCGGUACUGAGGAAGUUUUUUCAAUCUUAAAAUAGGCAACGGUCGGGCACCCUGCAGGAACGAACUCCUCAGGGUGUGGUUCCGCCGCAACCCCGUCGCCGGCGGGCCGUGAUGAAGAGGCGGCCUCCUCGCCGCAACCCCAUCUUAGAAGUUUUCGCCAUUUUAGAACAGAAGAAACGGAAAUUAGGAAGGUAUGUUUAGCGGUUUGCUAGAAACUCAAGAAAUUUGGGUGCAAGAGUUGGAGAGCAAAGGGAUUUUUUAAGAACAAGAAUAGGAGGAGCUUUGAACGUAAAGUUUGAAUAAAUGAAAGUUAGGGUAUUUAUAGCUUGCUGAUGAUGGUUCAGAACCUGUAGUGGCCGACCAGCAACUGUCAGAAAUUUAAUGCCUUGCUAACUAGGCCGGCGGGAUGUUUCAAUAUCCGUUUGUCGCUUACGUCAUGGCCCAUCGAGAGGGGAUUCGGAAGUUUAUUUCGUUUCUCGUCAUCUUCUCUCCGAGAAACGAGGGGACUAUUUGUAUACGGUCAACACCUGGUUUGCCUCUUGUGUGACUAAUCGAGACUGAAAAAUAGUAGGUUAAAGUUCCACCUCGAAUUAUAUCAAACCGAAGUGUGAAUCUAUAUCGUUAAACUCGAGACCAUGUCAUCGAACAAAAUCGAGAUCAGACGAGAUCGAGGAAAAUUUACCAAGUCGAAUAACAGAAGGACGAAAUAUCCGCGAUCAGUUGUAGAUCACGGCAAAAAUCUCGGUACGUAUCAAGGAUAGGCCGAUUGAUUAGCAAAUCAUGAGAUUUAUUACCUUAUAUAAAAUUGUAUCAAGAGUAGUACUCCCCUACUAUAUAAAGGGGGUCUGAUCAUUUGUAAAGGGACGCAUUACGCAACAUAAAGCAAUAUACUGUCAUUUUCUAGCUUUUAUCAUCUUGUUAUCAUGUUCAUACAUCAGUUAAGACAUCUCUGAGAUCAAAGGUGUUCAAUUUGAUAAACAGUUUGGCAUAAGGCUGCUCGAUUCAUGUGGUUUGCAUUAAUUCUUUUAUCAUCAAUUUCAAUUUUAAUCUUUUUCCUAAAUUUGUAUCAAGUUAUAUCACGUAUCCUUAAAACCAUGUAUAAAUUUAAUUGUUAUCCAAUUUUUAGGGUACACUAUUAAAAAACUGCCAAAAAUCAUCCACAAAAACCGACCGAAAUCGGUCGGAAUCUAACAAAAAUUGACCAAUUUUUGACUGUUUUCAGUUAGUCGAUAAAACAAUGUUCGCAAAUGAGGAGCGACCGCACACGGUCGAUAUUUUCCCACUGACUUCAGUCAGUAGAUGUCAACAAAAUUUGCCGACCGAAUUCGGUCGGUAGUGGUGAAAAUAAUUUUUAAUUAUUUUUAAAAUUUCGACCGAAUUCGUUAAGAGUUUUAAUUAUUUUUCUUUUUAAAAUUAUUCAAUUCUGACUGAAAUCAGUCGGCAUCGUUAAAAUAUAUAAUUUUUUAUUUUUAUUUAAAAUUGUUAAUUCCGACCUAAAUCGGUCGGUAUUAUGUAAAUAAUUAAAAUUUAAAAUAAAAAAUUCCGACCGACGUCGGUCAAUAAAUUUGAUUUUCUGGGAUAUCCGAUGAUCAUUUCCAACCGACUUUUCGACCGUAGUCGGUCGAUUUUCUUGGUAUUGUUUGGCAGUAUACAGCUGUUUUAUAGCUGCACCACCUACCAACAACCAAUCAUCUAUAAUGGCAGCAAUACAUUUCUGCCAUUUAACCAACAACAACAAUAACAACUAUCAAAACUAUAUUAGCAAAACAUUAUCACCAUCUCCAUCUCCACUAAACUAUAUUAACAAACUUCAUAUCUAACAACAAAACGUUUCACAAGUUAAAAGUUCAAACAUCAUUCAAUGAGUGUUUUGUACCACAUCAUCUUAAUCUCCACUAUUAUAGCAUUCAUCGUCGGCAUGGUUCGAAGGAUUAGCAUUUGGGGAAGGCUCACGAGACCGGGGAAUGGGAAAAGCACUACUAGUAAGAAGAUUGGCUAGCUGACCUUGAAGGAUAUUAAAUUGUUGGUCCCUCUUUUCUAGGUGAACUUGAAGGGUAUCAAAUUGUUUAUCUCUCUUUUGUUCUCUAGCCUUUGUCUCUUCAAGCUCUGCAGUCAGCUUUGCGAUCUUCUUCUUCAUAAAUGAGAGAGUCGGCCUAUCAAUUGCUUCGCCCUGGGCGAAAGUCCCUAUACCUUGCAAUCCAGCCCUGUAGCACCGAAAUGAUCUCUCUGGAAGGCCGUAUGCUAUCCCCUUUUUAGGACCACCGAUAACAUCCAACCAUAUCUUGUACACUUCUUCGUCUGAAAUGGGUGGUCGCUUGCCUUGCUCAUUCGGUGGCAAGCUCUGAGUGUACUCUUCCACAAUAAUCUUGUAGCGACCCUUUAUUUAGAAGAUAGAAAAUUAUCAAUUAUAUAAUAUUAUAAACAUUAAUUUCAAGUUAUGAAACUUAUAUAUGUAGUUGCCGCCCGAUCCUCGACACAUCUACUUGGAUCUGUUGGUGCCUUCUUCUUCCGGAUAUGAGUCUCCAUGAAGAACUCAUCAUGAGUCAUCUUCCUCCCAUAUUUUUUUCCUACAAAUAUAAUAAAGCAUGUUCAGUAAAUUAAAAUAUAUAAAUAAAGUUCGAUAAAAAUAGAAUUAAAAUAUUUGAAGGAAUUACCAGUAGUCUUCUCGUAGUCCCCAUGCUCCUUGCGCCCACACAAUGCAAGGAGCCACCCUUCUCAGAUGCUCGGGCCUUGUUUUCCUGUUCACUCUUCUUCUCGAACUUCUCAGUGGCCCACUACCUCAGCAAACCCUCCCAUAUGUACGGUAGAACCCAUGAAGGCUUUUUGGUCUUCUUCCGAGCACAAUAGAAGGAAUCAGAUAGUCUCUUACGACAUUAGAACUCAAAAUUUGCAAGAAUGACACUGUUAUGCCGGUCCUCCCAGGCACACUUAGUCUGCAAAUUAAAUGUGUUAUAUUAGAUAAAAAUAUUGUUAAUAUAAAGCUUAAAUAGAUAAGAAUUGGAUUAAAACCUUAAAUUUGCUGCACGGGCUCUGGUGGAAAGUCACUCCAAGUUGCAUAGGGUGCAUCAUACAACCGGCCAAGAGCUUCAGUGAUUAUCUUACCCAUUGCCCUCAGGGAUGAUGAUCAUCCUAUGAUAACGAUCAUACCGCACUUCCUCUGGAUCAUCAUCCUCCGAUGAAUCUGAAGCGUGCGCAGAAGCAGAGGCAUCUGGAUCAGCACUACUAUCCCGAAGUUGAAGCCUAGAAAAGCUAGGAGACAAACUUCGUGGAGAGAGAGACGGGGUCGCUGAUGAAGAUGGAUGCGAUCUACACCCAUGCAGCGAUCUAGACCCCUGCUGCGAUCCAGACCACUACUGCAAUCCGGCUGGCUGAAAUCUAGAUGGACGCGAUCAAGCCGAUGAUGAAGCAAAUGGAGCAGAUGGCGGGCGUAUCACCAUAUGGCCCUAUGACUGCUGACUCGAUGGACCCAUGUAAAUAUAUGCAGGAUCAUGUGGAGGAAGCGGGGUAUAGACCUAUGGCUGAGAAUGGUAAGAAUAUUGCUGGGAGGGCGAAUGGUAGGUAGUCUGAUGAGUAGAUAGAUGUGGUGGAAUAUAUGUAUGCCUAGAAGAUUGCUGCCGGCCAUUAGCAGCAGAGGGAUGCAAGUGAGGAGUGGAAGGAAGCGAGGGUGUAGCACCAUCAUCAUAAUCAAUAGGCCUCUUAUCCUUCCUAGACCUACCUCGACCCCUACCGGUCAUCUACAUAAAUAAAAGAAAAUGUUAGAAUUGAGAAUAUAAAUCUAUAUAAGUUGAGAGCGCUUGAAUAAACUAAAGGACAUGCUAACUUUCCAGCAGUCAUCCACCCAGACAACAUUCCAUACGCAGAAAAAUCAUUAAUGGUCCACAUUAAGUUAACACGCAAGUUGAAAUUUUGUUUAGUUGAUAUUUCAUAUGUCUCAACUCCAUCAUGCCACAACUGUUUUAGCUUAUCAAUCAGAGGUUUCAAAUAUACAUCAAUCAAACUCUUUGGAUUGCGGGGACCAGGAAUAAAAUAAUUUAAGAAAAUAUAUAGACUAGUCAUACACAUUUCAAGCGGAAGAUUAUACGGCGUAAUAAAGACCGGCCAGCAUGAAUAUGGUGUUGCAGAAAUAGAAAAUGGCGUGAAACCAUCAGCACACAAACCCAACCGAACAUUCCUCGGUUCACUAGCAUAAUCCAGAUACGUCCUAUCAAAAUGCUUCCAGGCUUCCCCAUCUAAAGGAUGACACAUAACACCCGACGACCUUCUAUUUUCAUAGUCUCAUCUCAUAGGAGGAACAGAACUCAUCGAUGCGUACAACCUAUUUAAUCUAGGAAUAAGAGGUAAGUAAUGCAUCGACUUCACAGCAACCUUCUACCCGCUGAAAACCCAUUUAAAACAAGGUUUUUCACAAAAUUUACAACUUUCUAAAUCCGCAUCACCCUUAUAAUACAACAUGCAUCCAUCUUCACAACAAUCGAUUCUCAUAGACGAGAGCCCUAACUUAGAAUCCAAUCUUUUAGCCUUAUAGAAAUCUUCAGGUAUGUUGAAAGUUGGGUCAACUAGUUCACUCAUAAGGCCAAUGAAAGAAUCCAUUCCUGCUUGAGAUAUAUUGGUAUCUGAUUUGAUACUUAAUAAUCUAACCACAACAAACAACUGAGAGUGCAUACUCCCUUCACUUAGUGGACGACUGGCGGCCUCUAACUGUUCAUAAAAAUGAUUUGCCUUUUCGUUAGGAGGUUGUUCAACACUUUCAAACACUUGCACUUCGUACAAGGACACCUAAUCAUCCCUCCAAUCUGAAGCGGUUCAAGUGACAUUGCAUGCCUAAUAAAUUCCUUAACCACAUCUAUAAAUUCCUCCCUCAAAAAUCGACAAUUAGGAUAAUUCCUAUUAUACAUCCAACUACGAUAUUCCAUCUACAUAAAGAACAAAUACAUUACAUGUUAUAUUAAUUAUAAUUCAAAUUAAUUUAUAGAAUUAAGUUACAAAAUCCCAAAUUGAGUGCAUAUUAAUUUGAAUAUAAUAUUAUUCUAACCCUACCAUUAAACAUAAUUAGACUCGCUAGAAUAUUUAGUUAGUUAAGCUAUUUAAUUAGACUAACUUACUUACUAUUAAUCAUAAUUAAUAAACCCUAAAUCAUAAAUUAAUAUACCCUAAAUCAUAGUUUAAUAAGCCCUAAAUCAUGAGCAAUAAAAUUUAAAGAAAUAAAAAUUAGCUAAUUAAGAAAGUACCUUACAUGAUAUCAUAAACAAAAUCAAUUAGAGUUAACCUUAAAUCUAUAGAAUUAUAAUCAAUUAAAAUAAUCCCAAAAUCCUAAAUUGAGUGCAUAUUAAUUUGAAUACAAUAUUAUUCUAACCCUGCCAUUAAACAUAAUUAGACUCGCUAGAAUAUCUAAUUAGUUAAGCCAUUCAAUUAGACUAACUCACUUACUAUUAAUUAUAAUUUAAUAUGCCAUAAAUCAUAGUUUAAUAAGCCCUAAAUCAUGAGCAAUAAAAUUGAAAAACAAUAAUAAUAAGCUAAAUAAGCAAGUACCUUACAUGAUAUCAUAAACAAAAUCAAUUAGAGUAAGCCUUAAAUCUAAAGAAUUAUAAUCAAUUGAAAGAAUCUCAAAAUUCAAAAUUGUAAAUACUAGUUUAUACAAUUGAAAGAAUUUAAAUAACUAAAAUUAACAAGUAUAGAUAACUAACCUUCAAAGAGAGGAGAGGGGUAUGAUUUUGGAAGUGGCGCGGUUGAUUUUGGGUGAGAAGGGAGUUAUGAGUGGUUUGCCUAUUUGACCCCAAUUUCCGACCGAAUUCAGUCGAAAUUUCAAUUUUAAAAAUUUUAAAAUAUUAAUUUAAUAAAAAUACCAAUUGAAGACGGUCGGUUUUAGUCAAUUUGUAAAGAUAGCAGCUUUUAAAUAAAUAAUAUUUUAAAUAAAUAAUAUUUAAUAUAUAUAUAUAUAUAUAUAGUGUGUGUGUGUGUAUUUUUUUUAAAUUACUUUUAUAUCGACACUAUAUCCUAUAUGUGUAUGUACAUAAUAUUUAAUUGAUUUAACAUCCUAAAUUGUAAUAUUCAAUAUUUAAUUAAUUUUGUAUUUAUACACACACACAAAAAAAAAAA